GUUUGAUGGGUCUCAAAGCAGUGAUUGACAUGAAAUUUGUAACUAUGAUUUUGAUAGCUGAUACACUUGUGGUGUGCCAUCCGCUUCCAUGGACUUCAGAUGUCAGACCAUAAUCAGACCUGGUCAUUGAGAUAAUCUUAUCUGAUACUGGACUGUAAAACCAGCUUAUUUGUGCAAGGCGAACCCGAGCUGGAUUGAAUGAUGAGACGGAGAGUCAGCUUAUUUGUGUGAGUUGUCGAAGAUGGAGUUUAAAGGAGUAUGGCAUAACGGUGGUACCGUUCAUUUUUUCAACUUAUUGAAAAGUUCUUGAAUUAUCCAUGAUUCUUUCCUUGAAAAUAUAAUUCUGUUAUUAUUUUUUUAAAAAUAAAACAAUUAAUAAGUAUAUAUUGUUAUUCAUAGAUUAUAUGAUUUAUUCAUAAAUUAUUUAUGGCGGAUUCAAGCAGCUUUUUUUUGGAUUACAAAAUUAACGAUAUUAUUAUCUUUUACUGCCUUCCUUGCCUAUCUCAUGCUUGUUUUCACGUAUGUAAAUAUAUAAAUAUACUAGAGUGAAGUAGCAUGGCUUAUUUUGUUCACGAAAGCAAUAACGGUAAAUGCACCCGGAAUAUCCAUAGACUUUAUGUUCCUAUUAUUUUAUGUGUCUUAUGUUUAUAAAAGUUUUACUUAUCCAAAUUUUUAGGCAUUUCUCCCUUUUCUCCCCCAUCUUUGAAUCGUUGCUUUUGCCUAAAUGAGAGCCCAUGGGUCUCGUAGUCCCAAGAUUUUCAGGACCAAUCUCGAGUUUUUAAAGAUCCUAUAUUUAUUUUAAAAGGUGACUUUUGAUGUCACGAAAAUUUUAGAAUUACAGGAUCCAUGAAGUUCCAUGCAUGAUCCUUCCAGCUUCACUUUUUCUCUUCGUACCUUCCCUUUUGAUGGAAGGUAUUACUCGGGUCGGCUGAUUGAAUAUCCAAAGAUGCCUCACAAAAUAGUAUUCUUGGACAUGCCAAGUGAAACAAAGCUAGAAUUAUAGAAAGCCAAUCAGCUAACAAGAAGGGGGGGUUGAUCGGAAUGGAGAGCAUGGCCUUGCCCUUCCAACUACAAGACCUUUCAAGCUCAAUCAAGCAAACAUUUGCAGCUUGUUUGACCUUGAACCUACAAGGAUAUCUAUCACAGGCUGAGGUGUAACUCUUGGAAGCAUGGAUCACUGAAUCUAAACAAUCAAAUUUUUGCCUACAAUCUUCACCUUUUCUUUUCAUCAAUCUAGGCCAAUUUAAUAUGUGAGCAACAUAAUUAAUUAAACUCUUAGAUCCGCACUCUAGGAGUUAAAACUCGAGUGUCGACAAGCCUCUAACCGCAAGGAAAAGGAUGGAGUACGAAGAAGCAUCUCUUGUGUAGAGAGCUGAAUACAAUACUCUUAAUGGAGUACUCAUAAUUUUCCCGAGAAACAUCUCUCUCCUCUCGAUUGGAUAUAUCGGGCGGUGGGGGAAAGCCCAAGUUUUCCACUCUCCUUCGUUGGCUCAGGAGACGAGUGCACCCCACGAGCCUUCAAAGGUGGGAACCAUUCCAAGGCAUUGCUUGCAAGGCUUCAGCAGAUUCAGGUGAGGUUUCCAAGAAAUUCCCAUGGGAUGAGGGCAUCCAUGCAUCGAUAAGCAGCGGCGAGGUGGAAAUGGAAGCAUUUUUUUAGUGCUCGUUUGUGCUUCCCAAUGGAAAAGGGCAUGGAAGUGUCUACGCACUCAAAUGGAUUGUGGGUAGCUCCAAGGAGGGGAUGGAACAUGCCCAAGAAUAAAAAAAUAUAUGCCUAUGCGGAAUAUUUUAGGAAUAGUGUGAUAAUUUACUCUUAUCUACCUCUCCCAAAAGUACAUUAAAGAAAACUUUUCAUAAAAAUUGCCCUCCGCACCCACCAAGAACGCCAUGCAGUGACUCGAGGAACAGUGUCCAAGGGUGUGCGCUUAUUUUUUUUUUAAGAUAUACUUUUUUGUUGCUAAAAUUUUUUAACUUGUUUGCACAAUUAUGCAGUGUAACUAAUGCUAUGUGCCAUACAAUUGUGUAUAUCGCACUAUCUUGUAUAAUUUUUAAACUUUAUUUUUAUGUUUCUCUCCAUCUCUGUUUUUUCUUUUUUCUUUUUUUUGCUCAAUAGAAUGGUGGUGAGUUUUCACCUUACUCAAAAAAAUUAAGUAUAUAGUACAACCUAAAUAAUUUCUGCAUUUUAAAAUAAGCAUAAACUUUGAAUUGUAGAGAAUAAUUGAAUAGAGUAAAGCUAGAGGCACAGCCCCCACAAGACAAGCUACUUAUUUUUUAGUGGCAUAUGAGGAUUUCUGACCUCUUCAAUUUGCAACCAAAGAAACACUUUCAAUUUAACAAAAAUAAAAAGGAAUUGCAAAAACCCUCAACAAUCUUUAAUUAUAUUUACAUUUUUACUAUUUUUUAUAUCAUGAAGAGAGUUUGCUUAUAAGAAGGAAUAUAGUGAUCUCUCAGAUGAUAGGAGGUUAGUUUCAUGUAUUUAAACCUGUAUUCUAUAGCAUAAACAGAAUCGUGUUGAUUCCAUAAAAAGAACAUCACAUUAACAUAAUUGUUUCUUGCACAAUUGCUUUACAAUUGUCAAUACGAGAUGAAUGAUAACUCAUUCUGUUCUUAAAAGAAUGAGCUUGUUAUUAUAGAUUGAGUUGAGGAGUCCUUGCUUGGUGCAAUGGUAAAGGCUUAAGUUGACAAGUAUAGUAGCAUAGGUUCAAGUCUUGGGCAACCAUGCCACUUGUCAUGGAUUCACAGCUCAAAAGCUUAAGUUGUUGGGAGGAGAACUAGUUCUGGCCAACAAAACUAUGUGGCGCCCUUUUUAUUAGUCACUGUAGUAUAAUGAUAAUCUUUUUCUUCUAAUCUUAUGACGCUUUCAUUAUGGUUGGCUCCUACUCGAGAGAGGGGAGGCCUAUCCAUAGCCCAAGCCCUACUCAACUCUGUUAUCUCUUAGUGAGAAGUCCACAUGAUUAUGAAAGAUGAUGACAUAUAUAAGUCUGGCUUUGAUACCACUUGUCAUGGACUCAAAUCCCAAGAGCUUAAGUAGUUGGGAGGAAGACCGACCGAGGCUAAUAAACCCAUAUGGCACCCAUUUUAUUAGUUAAUGUGGGAGUAUGACAAUAUAUGGAAAAGUUAAAGAUUAAGUCAGUUCUCAGUUUGCCCCUUCCAGGACUCCAAAUUGCUGGACUAUAAUUGGAUGAUGGCCAAAAAUGUUUUAAUAAUGGGUGAGUCGUAUGUACUCAAACGAAAUAUUGUUUUUAAUAACUAUACUAAGUUGUGGUCAAUUGGUUAGAUCAUCUUGUUCAUAUAUCAUUAAUACAAAAAUUAUUAUGUACUUUGAGCUUCUAAUAACUGGCUCAACAUGGAUAUUAAGAUGUAGCUAUUUGCAGCCGUGACAUAAUCAAUGACUAUCAUCUUUUUCUAAUAACAAUGACCAUCAAACUAGAAGGUAAUAAACUCUAUUAUAUAAUAAUUACAUUAGGAAACGGUUCUUAUAUACGAAGGAAAAUGGAUAUGAAUGGGGAUUAAGAACAAUUUUAUUUAGGCCAAUCAAAAGACCAGAAAAUUAAGUGGUAAAUGCAAGAACAGUUUGUAAAAGAGUGUUUUGGUAAAUGUUGCAUAUAAAGCCUUCAAUGGAGAAUACCAUAUAAAUGGGAAGAAGAGUAUUCCUUUUUCCAAUAAGCAUGUAGAAGAAUGUUUCCACUGAAAUUAAAUUAAUAAAUGCAUAAGGAACUAAUAAGAAAAAAAAAACCAUGAGAUACACAUUAAAUUCUAUCUAAAGAGGAGGAUGAGAAGAAUAAAGGCAACCACUCUAGAUAUUAGUGGAACUCUGCUUAAAAAUGUAUAUCACAAGUUAAAGUAGGACUUGAGUAGAAUGAAUGCAUGUCAUGAAAGAGAUUAAAUAAGAACCAUGGGCUACAAAAUAUGCCUCAUAGUGGAGAACUUGUGAAAUGGAUAAUCAAUUUUCUUUAAGAAUUGAUGUUAAAAUAAAAAUUACUUCCACAAUCUACUUCUUGAACUGCACCUAUCCAUAAUAGCCAUUGGAUAGAGUGAGAUUCUAAAAGUUAUUAAUCGUUUUUGUAUAUUAAAAUAAUAAAAAGAUUGUUUUUUAAAAUCUUAUCCAAUUUUAAUCGGCAAAAGUACCCCUUGUUCCAUGCCAUGUAUGCCCUAUUUUUCCCCAUUCUUUGUCUGGUUCUCUCUCUCUCUCUCUCUUCCUCCCUCCCCCCACUGCAGGUUUUUAAAUCCUUUGAAUGAUUCUCUACUUGCGCUUCAUUGAGUAUUAUGUAUUUAGACAUACUGCUCGUGUUCUUGUGUGGUGUACAAUGCUUUGCAGUCUAUAGACCCAAGUGCAAGUCCUUAAAACUGCUGCGAGAGCCUAUCUUAUUUGGGCUUGGAUCCAUCUGAGUUAGGCCACUUAGCGUGCACCUAGCACUUGAGACAGGAGAGAAAAACUCCUAAAGGGAGUCAUCUUCCUCUCCUAGUCCGAUAAGAAAAGAGGGCCCUCUCUUCUCCUUAACCAUAGCGCCCUAAAACCCCAAUUAAUCACCAACAAAAUCUGUUGAAAUUCUUUUGGUUUCCAUCUAGAGUUCUCGGCAAAGUCAUAGUCGAUUCAUCACUGAAAAUGAGGUAAUCCACCCCAAUCCCUCUUCCAUACCUAUCUUCGGGUUUCUUGGCUAUCGUCGACGGCUUAAUUGGCCCGAUUGUUCUAGAAAGUUACCAAAUUUCCUUUGAAAUAGGGUCUACCCUAUUUUUCUUCUCUUUUCUUCUCUUUCACGUCGUUGCUAGCCGCCAGUCGUAGCUUGUCGUCCAGGUUGUUGCCAUUGAUGCUGUCGCCGCCGCCACCGGGUGGCCGGCCCUAGAGCCCUCUUCCUUUCUCUAUUUCAAGAAGAGAACCAUAUUUCUCUCUAUCUUUCUCUUGCUUCCUCAAUCUUGCUCUCCCUCCUCUCUUCUCUCUCUUUGGCACUCUUCCUCUCUCUACUUUCUCUCUUUCCCCCUCUAGAUGCCUUAAUGGGUUCGAAAAAAAGGACCCAACACUUUAAAGACCGGUUGACCCUUGGAGGGGUCCCACGCCAGAAUUGUGCGAUCAGUGGCUCUGAGUCGGUAUUGCAUAACCAGGGUUUUCGGGCCCCAUUGUACGAGUAUCUAUUCGUCCAACUAUAAUAUUUCAAUAUUAAUCAUGGUUAUUUAUGAUUAAUUUGACGAUAAGACUUGAUCAUGUAGAAGGACAAUUAUUUAGGCAAGAAUGUGUUGAACAGGACAUCCUAUCCCUGAGUUCAUUGAUCAAGGAGUGGACCGAUAUUCACUAUACUUGAGUCUGAGACUGGUAGAGAUAAAAAAUUUUGUACACAAUCGCCUAAAUAAAUAAUUUGUAUUUUGUAACAUGUGUCGAUAAUUUUAAAUUUUGCAUCAUUUACCGCAUGAUUGCUAACUAAUUUUUGACAUAAAUAUAUAAAUAUUUUUUUUUUAUUAUAGGCAUAUCAAAUAUCGAUAAUUUUGGUUGCUUAUAUUAUAAUUUUUGUUGUUUGGAAUAUGAUGAUGAUUCUUUUGGAAUUUGGCAACAAAUAUAGUAUGAAAUUAUAUUCUCUGGCAAGAAUGAAAUCGAAUAAUUUGAUUGUUGAUUAAAAGGAUUUAGACUAGCUAUGUUAUGAACUACCAAUCACGGGCCGAGUUGUGACACAUUGGUUUGCCAUCGCAGGUCGAAGCGCAGAUGUUAUAUUUUUCACCUCAUGCUAAAAUGUGGAUUUUUUGGUUUGCCAUCAUGGACCAAAGCACUAAUAUUAUGGUUUGCCGCCAUGGGCCGAAGUGUAGAAUUAUAGUUUGCUAGUCAUGGGCCGAAGCAUGACCAUGGAUGGCAAAAUCAGAAAGAUGAUUAUUGAUCAACAAUUUGAUUAAAAAUGGAAGAUAAGUUAUAUAAAACUACUAUUGAACAAACGUUUUAGAACGAUGAUAUAUCUGACAUAUUUUCUUGAAUGAGUUGCAUGUUUGAUGAUGUACAUUUAUAUGUGCAUAUUUAUAGGGAUGCAUUUGAGCUAUGUUGAAUAAUGGGUAUAAGAUUUUAUGAUUUUGCUUGCAUUUUUGAUAUGGUUUAUAAUUAAUCUCUAUUUUAAAUUUACUUUAUCUAUAUUGGUGUGAGUGUGGAAGAUUCUUACUAGAUUGUAAAGCUCACACCACUUUUUUUUUUCUUUCAAAGUUUCAGGACAUGUAUUCUCGAUUGGGUCGGGUGUAGAAUUCAAGCGAUGGAGUCAUUAGAUAUAUAGUUUAUUUUUCGAUAGUAAAAAAUAUUUGAAAAUUUUGUAAUGAACAAGUUUAACUAUUUGAUUAUGAUGGAUUUAUUUAGUUGGAUUAUUUGGCUAUUAACUGUUGAUUUAAAUUUUUGUAGUAAUUGGAGACUUUGUUCAUUUUAUAGGCCUCGUAUAAUCUUUAAGGCAUCGCUCUAGGAUUUAUGCGGCCAUGUUAUAUAGUCGACUCACAUGAUGGAUUCGGAGUAUGACAACUACAAAAAAUUAUGCCUCUAAAUUAAAAAGUACUUAAAUUAAAGAAUACCAUCUAACUAUAAUGUCCUCUGGCAUGCAAACACGAAGCUUUCAUUAUUGACGGAUGAAAUUUGUUAAACCUGAUAUAUUAUUGAUUUUUUUCUCAGUUCAAGUUUUUGGAAUCAAUUGAUUAGGCAACAAAGAUCAAUUCAAUUUUAGUAAGUUGUGGACAACCCGGGGCUUGGCACCAAACAACAACAACAGUAAAUAAUAAUCUUCUAUUGCAUAGCAAGUGCUAAUUUAGUGUUUAGGUUUUGGCUAUCCAAAAGAAUCAAGCAAAAAGGUAAGAGCAUACAUUCUUUUACUAUCAUUUUACGAUUUUCUUUUCAAGUUAUCUCCAACUUCUGAUAUCUAAGCAACUUAACUCUGAGGGCUAUAUUUUUUAAGGAGCAGCAUCACUCCACAAAAGGGGAAAAAGAAGAAGAAGAAAAAUUUAACAUGAAAAGGAAAACAAAGCAAAUUCAAGAGCAUUAAAAAAUUAAUUUGCUUAUAAUACUGAUACAAUAUUCCAGUCUAGAAUAAGUUCGGGUACCCGAAUAUCAUGGUUUAACAAGUGGAAAAUUACAGCAUCUCAAGCCAAAGCAGGAUUGACAUGUGAUAACACAAUGGUUUAGGGAACAGCUUGUAACAAGAGCAAUGCAAUAGCAGCAAGCAAGCAAGCACGCAAGCUCGCUUUCUUGUGACAUUAAAACUGCACCAUCUUAUAUUGUUAAUUGAGUUGCCGAGGACCACCAUCCUUUUAUUCAUCCAACUGAACUCAGACUAGGUAGGCCUUGAAACCUGUUUGCAAGCAAAACAACCUCAGCUCAGAUGAUUUUUGGAAUUCCAAGAUAGCCGUAGAAUUUUUUGGCUGCCAUAACGACCAUGCUCAGAGAGAGCGAAGGAAGAGAAAGGAAAGGGAAGAGGUGGGGUUCAUAGUACUCAGAUUUAUCAUAGUAAUUUUAGGCAAAUAAACUCAGUGAUUAUUUUCUAUUUUAGUAGCAAAUCAUUACUUAAUGAAUCGGUGGACCAGCUCACCAGGAAAUAACUUUCGCCCAUCUGCAAGCUCUGCAUUAGAAUUCCAUACUCAUUGACAGGAAGAAGGUCUCCAGAAGAAUUGACGAGCAUCACAUCUUGGCCAAACAUGGCUCUCAGGUCUAUUGGGCCCCUUGGAACCUCUGAAGGGACUCCAUUGAUGAAUACGGUGAUAAUCCCUGCAUCCAUGAAUUCGAUGUUAAUUGAUCCAGGAUGGCACUUAACCGAUGAAAGUAUUUCUCUGACAUAUACUGCUAAAAAUUCUUUAUAGUUUUUAUGUUCAUCAUGCAUGAGUCACUCAUUAGUUCGAAAUUUGAGUAUUUCAUUAAUGGAUGUGGAAGAAAGUUCCGCAGGCAAGCACAGAGAAAAUGACAUCGGUAUGCUUUGAAGAAGUUUUUUUACUUUUAGCCUAAAAAGAAUAUGAAAAAAGAUAUCCACUGUUUUCCCACGGCAAAAUCAACCUCCACGUCCAAUCAAUCAAUCUUCUGCUUGUAUUUAGGUUCACAAAAAGUAAAAAAAAUAGCAGAAAAAAUCAGUUUGGUUACUACUGUGUAGAGACACGAAUAACACAAAGUGAUCGAAGAGAGAAAAGAGGAAAUUAAUUAGAAUUUAUUAACCGAUGAAAGAAAUUUGGUACUGGAGAUAUCAUAAAAUUAUAUCAUUAGUUACAUGCAUGACCUAAAUCUGGACAACUAUUUCCAACUUUUCUAUAAUUCCUAAUCGGAUGCUUUUAUUAAGUUGCAAAAGGGGCACAAAAAAAAGAAGAAAAGCAAUACUUUUGGCCGGGUUAGAGAACAUCAAAAUGACCUCGAUCCAUAAAUAAAAGGUUUUAAGUGACAAGGAUCUACGAAAAAUUCAUAUAUGUGCCGCCACAGUGGACUCACAUGGAAAAACAAGGAUGGGAACAAGAAGUCAUAUUUGGUGCGGAUGAUAAAUAAUUUAUUAUCAUGCUUUUCAAUCGGACUGAUUGCAUUAGAAAACUAAAUGAACGGACCAAACUUUUGGUGAAUUUUUAACUUCAGAUCCGGUAGAAAUGAACAAAAAGUAACAAUCUUGACUAGAAAACAAAGUUCCAAUCAAUCAAUCAAUCAAUCAACUUUGUUUGUGAGCGGAGAGAAUCUGAAAUCAUAAGGUGUUUCAGUUUGGAUAGAGGAGAAGGAUGCGGGCAGCAAGGGAGCACAUCUAUCCUCAAGCAACAAGCCGAUUCUUUGGAGAAUUGAAGCAUGGGAACUUGGUCCUCCUUGAGUUCCCUCCAUCCCAAAUUAUAGAGACCACCACCCCGAACAAACCAGGUCUCACGACACAAAGCAAUUAGUACUGGCUUCAUAUAAUAUCAAGAUGAGGUUAUAGAGAAGACGAAGGGCCAUCACUUAGCCAUGCGCUCACCAGGUUGAUAGUGUAACUGCGAGACAUCCGAAGAGUACAUGAAUGGAGUUUGAGUAUUGUCUGCGAAACCCAUUUGGCGAGAGAUCGAGAAGAGAUCGUCGGCGCUGUCAUCCCCCAUGAAACUAGAGGAGGAAGACGAAGCUGAAGAGGAGCAAGGAAAGAAGCCCCCACUCGAAGAAUUGGAAGUCGAUGUGCUGGAGGAGGUGGACGAACAGGGUUCAUACAUAAUUGCACCGCCGACUUGGUGGGCACCGGCCGCGGCUCUCGGAUCGGCGGCGAGCCCGGCCUGCAGCUGUCGCUGGCGGCGGCGGGACCUCGACCGCCGGUUCUGGAACCAGUAGAACACGUUGGCGUCGCCGACCGCGCCGAAUUUCUCGAGGAGCUUGCGGAUCCUCACUGUCUCGUCCUUGGGGGGGUUCACCAUGCCACUGUUGAAGAUGGAUUCAAGUAUGAGGAUCUGCUCCGGCUUCGGGGUCCACCGGGAACGCACCGGCUCGGAGGCCGGGGUGGAGCCACGGCCCGGGCUGUUGCUGCUGCUGCUGUUGUUGUUGUUGUUGUCCGGGGUCUGGUCAUCCAUGGGUGAGGGGGACUGGAGAGGGAGAGGAGGUGAAAAGGAAGGAGACCAAAGUCAAGUGGGAUGAGUGUAGGUGAAGGGAGGGGUUGGGGCAGGGGGAGGUUACAUAUAUACAUGAAUAAAAGGAAGAGGAGAGAGUCGCACCAAGACAGUGUUUGCACACACGCGGGUGUUGAGGUAUUUAUAAGCCCUGUGUGAAAGAAUGUCCCUUGGUGGGGUUAUGAAAUUAAGGGAAUUUUAAACAUCCUUGGCUUGGACAAGUAGAUUACCAAUAUGCCCUUGAUUAACAAGAAUUUUGAUGCAUGUAAAUGUGAGAAUAGGUUUGUGGCAUACUAGGAAUCAUAUCGGUGAUAAUCACGUUUAAUGUCAUGCAUGGAUUGACAUUACCAUUCUUCAUUGGAUUUAAGAUUAUAACGAUAGUUUUUGUGAAUUUACAGAUCGAUCAUCAGCUAGUGGUAUUGAUUUAAACCGGCGGUCAAUUGCAUCGCUCACUGCAAAUUUAUAUGGUAAAAAAUAGCAGAUACAUGUAACUGGGAUUAGAUAAGAAGGAAGAUCAAUUUUUAGUGAUGAAUUACACAAAUUAAAGUUAGUAUGAAAAAGAAAAAUAAAUAGUUAGAUUGAUUUAGGAUUAACCAGUUGCUAGUGUUAUCUUAAUAUUGUGCUAGUUGGGUGUCAUUUGUCACUAUUUCGCACUUGCUUGCUAAAAUGUAAACCUUCGUCAUGCAUAGCUUCAUGCAUAAUUUUUUGAUGCAUCGUAGUAUCGAUGCCUAAUUGGAAAUAAUAUCUUAAAGGUUUUGUAUUUGGGAAAAUCGCUUUCGAUCAUGUGUUAGUGUUAUCCCCUUUGAGUUGGUAGGAUAUCUGCAUGCUAAAAUUGUGCAUAAGCAAGCUUAUACUAGAUGGAAUGUUAUGCACUGUAGUCACAUAGCAAUUAGAGUUUAUAUACAAUGAGCCCACAUCCAUAGAUCAGUUGGGAAGCCCUCCUCAAGUGUACUUCCCUAAAAAGGCACUACCGUCAAGUUCUUGAGAUCCAAUACAAUGCAAGCAUAUGCCCUAAUAGUUCCUUCCAUGGUCGACCUACAUCCAUCUUAUCCCCAAAAGGGGGGUCCAAGAAAUAGGAAAGAGCAAGGGAACAUGUGGGGCCACUUUUGGCCAACCUGACCUUAGGAAGGUUGAUGGGUUUCUCAGGUAUCUUGUUGGGGUUCUUUCGAUCACAUCAGCAUGUGAAAGAGAAGGGCCACAAAGGGAGAGGGAGGUAGGGUUUGGCUUUGCACCCCCCGGGGGCAUGUGAAGUUAGGGGAGGUGCAUGGGGAGCUGGGUCCCCUCUGCACUGCAGAGGGAGGGCGGGUUUCAAAAGGGAGGGGAGGAACAAUCCAAGAAGCAGUCAAAGAACCGCACCCUUAAUUUAGUAGGGCUGACGUUGUGUGGACGCAGGGCCAGAAGGACAAAAUAAAAGGAGGGCUACCAUCACAUAUAAUAUAUAUUUAAGAAAGGUGGUGGGUCGGAACUUGGAAGAAGGUGAGGGGAAAGAGGGAGAGAGGGUGGAGGCCAAGGGUUGGCCCAAAGAUCGGUUACUUCUGCCCUUUUUUCACAGCACAAGCCGACGACGCGGAGACUACGGAGGCUUGGUUUUUUUUUACCGGGACUGACCCCUGUCCCCUUCCUUGGCCGCCCAAGGGCCACGGUAGUUUCUCUUUAACAUGACACAGCUUUGUCAAUGUCUCUCGUUGGUUAAAACUUCUAAAAAUUGUAUGUUCAUAUUAGAACUAACAUCAUUUGUUUCAAGAAUUAUUGAAAUUAAGCAGUUUCGAUAUGUUGAGGUUUUUCGAAGAAUGUAAUUAUAUCAUGCAUGCAUGGCAUGCAGUUCUAUGUUUAUAUAUUGCAUAUAAUAUAUAUACGCACGCAUGGAUGCAUUUAUUAUUAAUUUGUUAUAAUAUUUUCUAACGAAGCGAUGAGCCAGCUUAGAAGGCUUAAUUUUCCACUAGUAUCAUUCCAUCAACCAUGAAAGAUAUGGAAUGCACUAUUACGUACACAUAAUUGUUGCAUGAUCUCAAAAUGUCCCAUUAAUUUGAAAAUAUACAGGUAUAUNNNNNNNNNNNNNNNNNNNNNNNNNNNNNNNNNNNNNNNNNNNNNNNNNNNNNNNNNNNNNNNNNNNNCAGUGUUGUUUUCAGCUUGAUUUUAAACUUAUAAACAAUAUGCAUCCAACCCAAAGUGGUACGUGGUUUGUGUUUUGAGUGGUCUUUUUUUUUUCUUUUUGCCACUGUUAUUUAACAGGUAACUUAGUCUGCAGAGUCUUGUGAUCGAAGUAGUGAUAGGACGAUGUACUCCGGCCAUGAUAGUCAUGGAUCAGAUCCUGCCCCUCCCUAGCAUGCAUGGGGAGCACAUCUUUAAUUCAAUUUUUUCCUCUUUCAUAUGGUCGUACGGUUAUUAUUAGUGAAUGGUACAGUGCUACUUUUUUUUUUGGAUUUUUUAGAAUUGAGAUGGAAGAAAACUGGGUCAAAAUUCUAAUAUUAAAAUUUUGCAAAUUAAUUUUUUUAUACUCAUUUUGUAUUAAUAGUUUUUGAAUUGAAUAAUCCGAGAAGGUUUGUGACAAAAGUGUUUUUGAGUAUUGGUCCGAGAAGGUGAAGCCAGCAAACUCAUCGAAUAAAGAAAUAUAAAUCCAUGUACGGCUGCUGUUUCACACUUUAUGGACAUCCAUGUUUGCAUGUCUCCCUCUGUUCUCCCAUGGUAAAUAGGGUUUCUACCAUAACAUAGGCGGUGAGGAACCCUCCUAGCUUAACUAUUAAAAACGUAUUGUCACGUUGUUGAAUCAUGGCUCAAAUCCAAAUGAGACUGUGGCGUUUCUCACGGUUGAUUGUUAGCAUGAGAUGUCGGUGUUUUCGUUCAAUAUAAUUAGAAUAAUUUAUGUAAGUAUAUAUUUAGUUUCAUAUUAACUAUGCAUUGGAUAGAUUUAUGAUACUUAUACGAAACCAAAAAAUCCAAAUAAUAUAUUUUGGAUUUUUUUUUGAUAAAAUUUUGAGUUAUUAUAAAUGGUAUCGAGCGAACCUAGCCUAUGAGCUAUGUAAAUUAGGAGAGAUUAUAGCAUGACCCAUUUGGACUGAAUAUGAGCUGAUCAUGGUAUUUAUAAUUGGAUUUGUAGUACUUGCGAUUUGAUUUAAAUAGAUUUGAACUCUUAGCUUGGCGAGAAUUAAUGACAAGGCUUAACUGGAGGAGUAUGUGAUCAAGAAUCCGUAUGAACAUGUGUUUAGUUCUACAUUAGCUAUGUGCUAAGUAGAUCUUGGGUACUUAUACAGGACUAAAAAAAUCCAAAUAAUAUCGCUCGGUUAGUCUUUUUUUUGAUGAGAUUUUAGGUUAUUACAAUAAUAAUGUAACUUAAGCAAUCCAAGUACCCAACAGUUUAAAAAAAAUAAAAAAGUUGCACAUCUUCUUCACUAUGGCAAGAGUUAUUCUUAGCCCCAUACAAAUAUAAUUAACCAACUAAAGUCCAAAUGGAACCACAGUAUUUCUGCCGGUCUUUUGAGUGUUACCAUGAGAUGUUGAUCUCUUCUACCUUGGAGUAAAAUAACACCAUCUAUAGAAUCAUGCAUUUGGCGGUGAUGAAUUGAGACCUAAAUUCCUUCACCAUGAAGGAGGGUUAUUUGUGCAAUAAUAUAUAUAAUUCCACCUCAGUUUAUAUUCUGAUCCAAAUAUUUGGCAAGUAAAAGACAAACCGCCCGAUGGAAUCCGAUCCUUCAUAAUAUGUACCCACUCUCUUAACAAAAUAGUGGGAACCUGCCUAACUCUUGCUUUAGUCCACAAGAAAAGCACUACCAAUAUUUGGGCUUGCAUGGCUCUUGCUUUAAUUAUUAAGUCGCAAACAGCACCCUAGAAACUAGGGCAUGAGGAGGAGCUAAUGAUUUAUUAUGGCAGUAGAAGAAGCUUAGUCAACAAAGUCAGAUGGGUGACAUUUGUCUGUUUGGUCGUACUUUUAUGGUUCUAGUUUUUUCUUUGGUCUAUUUAUGAUGAGAAUGUAAUCAACAACAAACCCAGCAGGUCUUCAAUCACAGGCAUGGCCAACAGUCCAUACUUUAUUAGACUCUUAUAUGAAAAGAUUCCUAAUUCCUUUGGUAUAUGGGCCCUCCAUGUGCCAAACUUUUGAGUGUCACCUCACUUGAUAGUUAUGUGUUCAUUUUAGUACCCUAUUUUUUUUUCUUGUUUCUGUUUCCUUUCAUUUUGAGAGUCUCUAAGAUUGUAUACAUGCAUUGUAUGCAUUUUUACACUUGACUUUAAUCUUGUGACACUGCUCAUUUAGGCUCCCAUCUACUUGGUGCAUCUCCUGAAGUCAUUGAUGGAUAUUCGUGCUGCCUCAGGCCAAAAAUAUAAAGUUGAUAUGUAUAUUAAUUGUUCAAAAAAGAAUAUUUUUUUCCUAACUUAUGAUAACCUAGUUAUAAUAUUUGCUCAUAAAGUAUGACCGAGAUGGCAUUAUUAAGGAAACAAACUUUUGGCUACAUGUCGGAGGCUAAUCAAGCCAAGUAGCUAUACGAAUCGGACAUGUCUGUCUAAACUAUAUGCUGUUUUAAGUGGCAGCCAACAGCAGCUGCAACAACAACAUUUUUAAUAAAAUUUGUAACCUAUCUUGCAUAUGAUGUCUAUAAUAAUGUAUACUACUGCAAAACAUUUGUUACAAUUCUUUCUCCAAAAAAAAUAUUCCGAAAACUCUCUCUCUCUCUUCCCUGAAUACUUGAAGUCUCCGUUUACGUUAACCAAGGUAUAUGACAGAAUUGCUCAUCAAUGAAACCCAAAAAUAGAUAAUGAAGCUUUGACCAUGGCCAUUGGAUUCCUUCUAAUCACGAUCUAGACCGUCUGACGAAUCUGCUUCCCUUUUCGACCUUUUGUUUCUAGAAAGAUAUAAUGCAUUAAAAAAAGACACCUUACCUAGGGAACAUAAAAAUUUAAAAUCUAACAAGUGGAAUAUCAAAGGUUAUCAUGACCUUGUUGCUCAUGGAUGAAGCAAAACGAGGCUCGGGCUCUAUUUAUCGGACAUCUUCCUACUGUGACCUACGUCAUCCCCUCUUAGUGAAAUAGAUGACGAAUCGACAAUGAUGCUUCCUCUUUCCACCUUUUCUGUCUUUAGAAAAAUAUAACACGCCAAAAGAUACGUACUUAGGAUUCCUUAAAGCAAAGUACUUGUAGAGAUAACCUCAAAAAAAUUGAAAGUUAGGAGAUGGAUAGAUCAUUAAACAAAGGGAGGAGUUUUCUUUUUUCUCAUUUCUAACUCUUUUUUUUGGUUGUUGUUGUUAAACUGGUGUACAAGUACAAAUCAUGGAUACAAAUAUUCUUGUUCCCCAUCUUUUCUCCGCAAAUAGAGCAGAAUCUAAUAAGUGAAGACUGGGGCCAACCAAGGGGAAGUCCGGUGCAUUCCCCCCCCUCUUAAAGGAGCCGAGGUGCACUGUUCUCUAAAGCUAUAAAAAAAUGGAAACAAGAAGAAGAAAAAAAAUUGUGCCUCCCACUCUCUGUGUGCUGCUGCUGCUGCUGCUGCUGUUUGGAGGGUCGGUCGCCACUUCUGCCGCCCACCCUCUCGUCUCCAUGGACUUGAUCUGUCUCGGUUUGGGGGGGUCUCGAACGUGCGGAAAACAAAUGGACAAAGGCCAACCCCUAAGCCUUGAUGCAUGUGAGGACUGAGGACUCAUAUAUUCCAUUCAGUGUAAGUUGCUUUAUUCUCCUCGCUCGUAAGCCGGCAUGACAGAGGUCGGCUAGGUCGGUUGGUGCAGAAUCAAAGCCAAACCACCAUACAUAUACUCUUCUUUUUUUGUUGUCUUUAAACUUAUCUAUCCUAAAGUUUUAAUGUUCUCUUCGUGCAUGUGAUUUGUACGUCAGCAAGUUUGUACAAAUUUAUAAAAAUGAGUGCUCGAACAACAUGAUCAACAGAUGCAUGCAUGCUGUGUCAUGCCACUUGCUUGCUCGUGCUUUGCCCAUACUUGUUUUUUUUUUUUUGGCACGUACGGCGACUCACACACAAUAGAUGUGGGUUCAACCCAUAAAAUCAAAGAGGAUACAAAGAUACCGGAACCAAGAAGUGGUUAUCCUAAAUAAAACCUCCGAAAUGCUGAGCCACAAAGGAUGCCACCCAGUCAGCCGUACUGUUCACCUCUCUCUAGACAUGAUUGGCCCGAUAGAAGGUGUACUUACCCAAGAGUCAACGGAUGUCAUGGAUCAGUUGCAUUCUGCCGGCUGCACCGCCUGAAUCCUGAAUCAACUCGAUCACCAUAGUAGAAUCCUCCUUAAAGACAAUGUGGUCCGCGCCUAGCACUCGCCUUGUGUAGGAGACACCCUCCCAUGCAGCUCUGACCUCAGCCCCGACUACAGACUGCUUGAAGAUCCGACGACCCCCGGCCACCACAAGUCUGGCCUCCUGAUCUCUAGUGACAAAUCCGGCGCCUCUGCUGCCUCCGACUUCGCUGGCACCACCGUCGAAGUUCAUAUUGAGAAAGCCAGAAGGUGGGGGCUCCGAGGAUACGAAUAUAGUCCUGGACGCUACAAGAGCAGAAUGAGUGCUCCAAAUUUUCCUUGCCAGCCCAAGGAACGACGAAGCAACCAUAUCCUCGAUCUCUGCUGCAUGAGUAAGAGCUCGGUCCACCACCAACCUCGGGUGCGUACCUUUAUCUUCGAAAAUUCGGGCAUUUCUAUCUAGCCAGCAAUGAUACGUCAGAUAAGCUGCCCUAAUCCCCUGCUCUACUCUGGCCGACCUCCAGAAGGAAGUCCGUAGAAAGGUCAGAAAGUUCUCAAUCGACAACCACCUCUGUGGCAGACCGGCGGAAACUGCCGCAUACUCCUACAUUUGAACAGCCCGCUGACAUCCAAAAAGAACAUGGAACACCGACGCAAGGAUGGGAAGGUUUUACACCAACGCUCAUGGUAAAGAUAUAUAUAAACAAUUGAUUAAAGAAAACAGGUAUGCUUGCUCACUUUUGUGAUAGAGCCGAAGUAAGGUUGGAGAUGUUCACGACAAGCUACUAAAUGAAACGAAUGUUGUUUACCGAGUGAGUCAUGAAAGCUCUUCGAAGGAGUGGAAUCAUGCGAGGCACGUAGUGUGAUUUAAGCAUCUACCAUGCUCAUAUGUAAAACUACCUAGCAAUUCCAUACAAGAGUGAUGGUGAAGAGAACAAAGAUGCAAAGUACAUAAACUAGCUUUUGUGACAUUAAAGAAGUAGUAGAUGAUUGGAAAUGUUCGAAAUGUUUAAUAAACUAUUUUGCUGGAAUAAUUUUCGAAAAUUGAUAGGCAGCUUAGGAGUUGUGAGAGGGGGAGGUAUCGACCAACCACAUACGUACUUCAACACCCUUAAUUAUUGGUAAGAAUGUGUAAUUAUUAUUAUUUAGGCACUUCAUAUGGCCUACCUGUAACAAGAAAAUACCUAGUUAUCAUCAUUUCCUAUAUCUUGUUCAAAUUCUAUAUAACAUUAAUUCUAUGAAGUCUACCAAAAAGAUUGAAGAUAUUCCAAGACAUAUGGUGGAUGAAAACAUUUAGUUUUUCUCAUGUGCAGAGCUAGUUCUGCAAUAGAAAAAUAGCCAGUAGAUUAAGAGAAAAAAGAAUUAGAGUACGCAAACAAAACUAUAAUGACAUUAGAGAAGAAAAUAAUUGUAAAAAUAGUUUGGGAAGGGAUGCCCUCCAUUGUAUAGCUCACUACCUACAAACUAUUUUCUACCAAAAAAAUAAGUGGGAUAUUAGAAUAAUCCAAAAAAAUAUAAUCAUAAAAUUAGAAGCAGCUAAGGUAAUAUUGUAUGUUGUGUGAGUGCCUUUAUGAUAUAUGCUUCUUUCAAUAUUUUUAAAUACUAGGAAGAUACCUAAUUAUUGCUAUGUAUAGUAUUUUGAUCAAAUGUAAUUAAAGGGAGUUAGGAAUACAAUAUGUUUGUACAAUGGACUUUAUUAAUUACUUGUGAGCAAAUAAGGUGCCAUUUUAUUUUUUAAAAAAAUCAAGGAACUAAUGAACAUAGCUGCUUAUACUAAAAAACAAGUCAAUAUGGUUCCUCCUAAACAAAUCAUCCGCAAUCAUCUAAAUCUUGAGACAUUUUUCUGACUAAUUAUUUAUCUUAUUGAGAUUGGUAAUCCAAAGAAAUUCCUCUAUGAGAAUUUCAUCUUAUACAGGCCCAGCAAAACUAAACAAAUACUGGUUUCAACAUAUACAUGGUAUAUAGAAAGUUCCAAACUUCUUAGUCACUUGAUUCAGUUUGCUCCAAAAUGCAAAGUAACAAAAAUUCAGAAUCUUUUCUUUGUCACGAUAAUGUCAAAAAUACCAAGUUGGUUCGUCCAUCUUUCUUUUUUGUUCGUUAGAGGCCUUUUGAAUCUUCUCAUUUCUAUUUUUUUAUUUGUUGUUUUUUUGUGUAGAAUCUAUAUUUGUGGGACAAAUUAAUUAGUUUAUAAAACGCACGAGAGCCAAUGGAGAAACACGUAACUGGAGCAUAUUAGAUACUGAAAAGACACAUCAACAUACAUAACCGGUUAAGAACUUACAACAAGCAAAUGAAUAUCUAGUUUGAAUAAAAAAUAUAAUUAAUUAGUUCAGAAAAUUAGAGUGUUGGAAGUUUCCCAGCGUCACCGAGCACAGCCAUAACGAUAAAUUCUGAAAAAGUUAUUCUUAUAAGCCGUGGCAUGGUGUAUAAGAUAACGUAACUAUUACUCAACCAAGGACUGUAAUAGCAUGUAUGUCGUAAUGUGCAAAAAUGAUACCAAAUUAUGACUCUUCCCUUCAAGAUAUAUAGUAAUAAGCAUGGUAUGAGGCUAACAUGCAACUAAUAUUUUAUAUUAAAUGAUAAGUAUACACUCUCCAAAAAGAAUAAUAAGAUAACACCAAUUCCAUGAUUAGUUGAUGCGUUUAAUUUGGCCUUCGAUGGUGACAUCCCAAACAAAUUUUACCUACUUUCUCCAACAUAGGUGCCCACUAAUGAUUAUUAUUAUUAAUUUUUUUAAUAGAGGUGCAUCAUGUAAAUAUUUGGUCCGAAAGCUCUCUUUCUUCCUCUCUUCCUCUCCCUCUCCCUCUCCCUCUCCCUCUCGAGCGAGCGCCCGUGAAGGAAGGGAGGUUGGAACAGGUUUAUAGUAGAUUAAGAUGACAUGAAACAAGUAAAUAAAGUGACAAAUGAUUGAAUUGAUGCAAUCUAUAACUAUAAAAACUCGAAUUUGAUAUAACCGAGGCGGCUCGUGGUCCCCUGGUGUAAGCCUAGGCUUCAAACAAGAGACUUGCAUGUCGAUUUGGAUCGGAUGUAAUUGUUUGCAUUAAAUUUGACCUCACCUCAAAUCUAGGUAAAUAAUCCAAUGGAAAAGGUGUUCAAGUGAGCCGUUGUAGAAUGGCAAGCCCAAAACUUAGACCCGUUCCACAAGGGUUGGCCCUAGGGUCUUCGCCAUUCCUGGUUGGCUACAUAAUUUCAUGUGAAAACUUUGAGGGUCUAUUUGGCUGCACGUUUAAGUUAUGCAUAGGAUUGACCAAAUAUAGGCUGCCAAGCGAGAUGUAAUGAGUGAAUAAAACUAGAUUUUCUGUUUUUAUUUUUUUAUUUUUAAAAAAAGGGAUGAUAAAGGAAUACUCCUUAUAAAUAGGGACACCAUAACUCAUCUUUCUCAAAGGAAUCCCUAAUUCCCGUAUUUUUUGAUAUAUUGAUUGAUUGUUUUCUCGAUGCGAUACUUCUUUCCUUGCUUUGGCCGCCACUGUUGAAGGGAUUAACACCUUAACCAAGCAUCCAAAUAGCUCCUAAGUUCCACCAUUGCACUAAUAAAAUUAUUUAUUAUUUUUUCAAAAGAGAUAGAAAAGAAAUGUCACUACUUGGAUCAAAUAUGGAACAUCUCCUUGUAAAAAAUGGUACAUUAGCUAAUGGUACAUUAGCUUGAGCAAAAAUGUUUAUAGCUGCAAUUAUAAGUGACAUCAUGGGGCCAUUUUAAAAUUAAAAGGAAUAGCAAAGUUUCACCCACCUCAUCAUGGAGAUGGAGGAGUUCACGGUGCGCAAAAAAACAAGGAGAACAGCCGAAAACAGAAAAGUUACAAAGACACAUGAACGAUUAGUUGAGCAAGAGAGUCAAAACAUAAAAAUUAAUUUAGCUAGGAGUAGAACGCGUCAAGAUGAAAUAGACAAUUUGCUAAGUAGAAGGCAUUAUCUUCAAAUGAAUUUUGUUGGAAAAAAUUGCACGGUGUACCUGGCCAAUGUUUGUAAAUCCUAAGUACAUCUACUUAACUUACGUUUUAUUUUUUUUUUGGUACAUGACUGCUCACACAGCUCUUGUAUGAGUACAUUCAAUAGAGUCGAAGGAAAGAAGAUGGCAUAAAGGUGGAGUGGCAACAAUAUAACAUGUCCAAAUGACUUCUCCCGAAAGUUUUACAUCAAAGAAGGAGAUCCAGUCUGCGGCUCUGUUCAUUUUCUAGUAUAUAUGAGCAGUUUGAAAAGGGCCGCAAUCUUUUACCAGCUUGCGAAUGCCAUUGAGCAGUAGGUGUCAUCCCUUCGGUCCUCGUUCCGUAUCCACUCGAUCACCGUAGCCAAAUCUCCUUUAAGACAGAUGCUAUCAGCCUCUAAAAUACACCUCGCGCAGGUAAUGCCCCCCUAGCUACUUAGCUUAUGCAUUAACAUAAAUAUCUUUGCUCUUUAGCCACAAUAGGUGGCACGCGAACUAUUUAUGGAUUCCAAAAACAAUUAUUAUUUAGUGAAUAUUAUUACAUUAUAACUCAUUUUUUAUCCAAUUGAAAUGAAAAAUGUCUCGAAUUAAGAUCUCACACUUUCUUUAGAGUAAAAUAUCAAAACAAUGCUAUUAUUUUAUUUUUAUUGCAUUUUAAGAAGUUCUAUUUUGUUUUCAUUGUUAGUUAUUAUUCCCUGUUAUACAACUAAUAUUGAAUUUGGGGAAAGAAAAGUCAAAAGCUAAACUAGGUCAAAAAGAAAUCCCAUAUAUCCUAAAAUAUUAUUUUGCUUGCAAUCAAUCACCUCAUUGUCACACACUCCUUGGCUUGGAUUCUUGCGGUUGUCUCCCACCAAGAACAUGGUGUUUGGUGAUGGACAUUGACUUUCCCUUUCCAAAAUGGAUGAAUCCAUGGCCAUCAACGAAGUAAAUGUGCUCACCUCCUCCUCUUAUUGGGGCCAUGGCAAGACCCGGCCCCUACUCGCAUGGAAGGUCUGAUCUGACCGUCCGUACACGCCUAGCCUUACUGGGGUUCAGAUCGAGGCCCAAGUCCUCCCUCCUGCAUGCAUGAAUCAUGAUGCGACUCCAACGGCCUACGAGAGCGCCACGACAUGAUCGUAUACAUAGCCAAAGCCAACCUGCAGCUAUCGCCCGUGUUCCAUGCACGUGGUGCCUCACAUGUCUUGGUAACGUGCUAGACAGCGUAAUUUGCGUCGCACCACCAAAUGCACCAAGCGAGCAUAGGAAUGAUUUGUGCUUCAAGAGCUUUCCUUCUUGUCAUCAAGGAUAAAAUCUCCUCCAACAUGUGCUAGUAGUACUUGGAGCAUGGCCCAUGCAUGAUAUGCUCCAAGGAUAAGUCGAUCUCGCAAUGUCGAUCACAUGUUAUGCUUUGUAAUUAGACAAGAUCGAUGUACCAUGAGAUCAAAUAUGGGCGCAUAGCAUCGUGCAUGCAUGUUCUCAAAAUGCAGUAGAUUUGACUAGCACCAUGCUAGAUUGUUGAAUAUAUAUUCUUGAUAGGCUAGCUAGCUAGAGAGUUAUAGGUAUGAUGCACAUUUAUCUUGAUGUCAAUCUGCAAUCCUAGUUGUAUCCAGCUUAAUAGCUAGAUAUAAUAACAAGAGGAAAAAACUCCCCUCCUUUUUCCCCUGUUAGAGCUGGUGAUCGAGAAACUUGGAAAAUGUCCAUGGGUGCUCGGUAGUGCACAUCAUCAUUUUACCAGGCUCAUCUACUGGUGGCUUCACGCUUAUCAUGCAACCAUUAACUUUGCGCAUUGCAUUAUUUUUUUUUAAUCAGUGACACAAUUCUUCCGUGAUAUAUGGAAGAAGGAACUUUUUCAUGUGCAUGAAACGGGUACACUAAAAAGAAACUACUAGAAAAAUUAACUUGGUGCAAUCGUGAGAGUGCGAACCAAAUCUCUCAUCAAAAAUAAUCUAGAAGUGGGGAUUGAGGUCAGGCAUGAUUGCUGUAUGCCGGGACUCGGGAGUGGGCACUGGUUUGGACUCGAUCGGGAUUGGCCUCUUUUUCUAGUAGCCACGACGGGCGUGGCAAUUCGCCAGCCUAGAAAUCUAAUUACUAGGUUGUUGAGUUGGGCGCAUGAGCUCCACAAGCUCGCGUAGCUUUUGUGUCCGAUUCAAGAGAAAGUCCACUGAUUAGAUGGCUGGAAGCAAGAAAGAGCCGACAGCAUUAAGCUCCAUGCGUGGCUUAACUUUGGUAAUGACCCCUUGAUGGGGAACAUUCCCUACUUCAUUAGCCAACACCACGUUGGCACAUGACAUGUCGAACCUUCUUUGGAGAAUUGCUCGGGAUGCAUUGAACUCCUGGCUUCAAUUGUCUAAUCAAGAGUAAGUGGAUGGUGGUAUUAGCUUUUUUCCAUGUGGGAUUAUUUUUUUUUCUCCUUCUUCUUCCAUCCAUUGUGGGAUCAAAGACCGAGAUGGCUUAGAAUGUUAUGAGAAGGUCCGAGGAGGGCGAUGGGUUGUCAUAAUAUCAAAAAAAACUUUAGAGCAUAAUACUUCAUUACAUUUUGGCAAUAAUUUGUGGUGAUUGGCAUAUGAACUCCAUUUUCAGGGGCCAAGAAAGCCUUGUUACCUUUUCUUGUUCAUCGAAGCCUCGACACCAAAGUUAUAUAGCCUAUGAAACAUGGAUCUCAUAUGAUAUGGUUACAUUCAUGUCUCGAUUGCACAAAAGUUGAUAGCGAAACCUAGGAGAAGAGAGAGGCUUUUCAAAUGUGAAAAUAUCGAAAUUACAUCCACGGCCAUUUCUUCAUUGAGAUAGCAUAAGUGAAAAAGCCUACCUCAUUAAUCAAGGUAUGGGCUUUAGGUUGGCUGAUUAGCACGGCUCUCUCCAAGACUCCACCUUAAAGAGGUCUACGAUUUUUGGAAAAAUAGCUACGUAGAUCUUACUUUACAUUUAUUCUUGUCUAAAAUGAAGUCAAUAAAAUAAAUAAUAUCUUAUGUGCCUAAAAAAUUUCUAGUAGUAUACUCUCUCUCUUUAUUCGAUACAAGGGAAGAUAAUUUUUGCUUCAAAAUAUUUAAAAUGGGAUGCGGCGCAAUUCUUUCUCAUCAUUGUAACUUUGCAUGAUUCGCGGUAAAUAAUUUUUUAAAAAGACAAAGUGAGUGGAAAUAUUAUUUGACACAUGAUGCCAUGAUUUGGAUGCCAAAAUCUAGUAGACAAAGAAUACUCCUUUCUUUAAUAUCCUAAUUUCUAUCCAUCUUAUUUUAAGUGAUUAUACCCUUUAGCCGCACCAUACUCACUAUUUAAUGCCUAAUGGCCUUUGUCGUUAUCAAAUAUUUAAGUUCUUGUACUUUUAAUGACUCUAUAUUUUGAAUUGUUUUAAUAAUUCUAAUGAACUCUUUAUUCUAAUUCUAAUGGUAACUCACUUAUGACCUUAAUUAGAAAUCUUGCAAACUAUGGUUGUGCGCUCUUCGACACUUUGACAUAAAUUGGAUCUUCAUUGGUAGUCUAAUAUUUUUCAAAUUACAUUAUUUUGGUAGGUUUAAUGAAGAUGCUAGAAAAUUUUCAUGCCAUGUACCUAUGUUGCCUCGUAAACUUCAUUACAAACAAGUAUGGAAAAAUAGAAAUGAAGUUGCAUUCCUUGCUAGAAGAGAGCAUUCAUUGCAAAAAUUUAUUGUGCAGCUUUAGAGUUAAUGGCAUUUUUGCAAGUAAAGAUAUCGAGCCAAUGCAAUGUUUCUAAUAUAUUUGAUACGAGAGUAAUGCUAAUAAGGCAUACAAUCCCAUAUUAAGAAUGGCAACGCCUUUCUUAACACUACAACUAAGUCAUAUGUAGUUUAAAUGGUAACAAACAUGCUUGAUGGAAAAGCAAGGAUUUUAUAAAGAAUUGCAACAAACAUUUUGAUAAAAGGAGCAUCCACCAGUAUAUCAUUAUCUUCGAUGUCUAUAUCAACACAAUUUUCCGCUUAUUCCCUAUCAUUCUUAUCCAAGAUGACACCUUGACCAAUUUUUUUUUCUUUAUAGAGGUGGCGGUCAACAAUCUCUAUGCUAUAGAGUAAUCUCCAUAUUAUCCAUGUCAUCCAUCGACAUCUAUAAUUUUAUAGUUUUUGGUCCUUAAGUUUUUUUAAAAAUAAUAAAAAAAAUUUAUAAAAAUUCUCUUGAGGUUUAUAUUUAUUAUACUUAUCCUCAAUAGUUUGUAAAAUUUACACUUUCACCUAGUUAAAUUAAAGGUAUUAGUGGAACUGUUUACCUCAUAUGAGAAGUCGAAGUUGCCCAUAGAUGGGGAGAGGGAUGCAUAUAUUUUUUUAUGUCCUUGAUAGCUGAUAUGUCAAUCAAGGUUAUUUUGGUCAUUUCUGAUUUAUUUUUUUUUGACGUGAUAUUUGGGUCCUAUUUAAGGUUAACAAUUUGAUUUAAAGUAUUGGAUGAAAAUAAGAGGGAUAAACACAGGUUUUUCAAAUUAUUGAGCGUAAGUGUAAUUUACUCUAAUUUUAGGAGGAGAACUUUAUAAUUUACUCACAAAAAAAAAACAAAAUAGGAAUCUACUAAAUAGUAGAUAUAACUCUUUGCUUUCACUCUAAAAUGAUUCAGGAAGAGAAAGGGAAGUACAGGAGUAGACGAGUACCUACAAAAUAUGUCUCAAACUUAGAUAGCAUCACAACCAUCCAUCACAUUCUCUCUUCUCUCGAAUGGAUGUUCAUUACUUAUGCCACACUCUAGCCGAUACAGUGAGACAUCACAACCCCAAAGCCUCAAUUAGUACCCAUCUUUAGGUCACACAAAGAUCCUACGGAUCCUAGACCGUUGGCCAUAGUUAUCUCACACAAGAUGGGCAAAGCGCAAAUGGUCGCAUGCCUUUCUUUCAUAAGUCUUGUCAUGUCUGAGGCCACCCAACAGACUAACAAAACUCCUGCUAAGCCAUCGCCAUAAAGAGUGUGUUUCAAGGCUAAAGCCCAAGUUGUAUUCCACAAUUCUCUGAAAAAUAACUGAACUAUUGUCAGUGUUCAGAAUUCUCAAUGACUUUAUCGUGGGAUUUGAAGUGUUUUGAUGUUUAAACCGAUAGUACCCUUUGGAUGUACUUGCCCCAUUUCUCAAGCUUGGGACAGUUGGGCCAAAUAUUCUAGAUAUGAAUCUUGCUCCAAGCUCAAUCUCCACCUUUCCGUGGCUAGAUUCUGGGUCAGAUGGUAUCUUGUAGUCUUGAUAUCUGAGUAGCUCAAUCAUCAAUAAGCAUAAUUCCUUCAGAUUAUUAGCAUCUGAUCGGAUCUCUCUCCCCGAUUUUCCAUGAGAUUACUAGGAGACAAGGAGAGGGGGAAUCAUUUUGGCUGUUUUCAUGUGCAUGGAAAAGCCUCAAUGCAAUUCUUGAGCUUGCCGACAUAAUGAAAUGCCUAGAUCCCAAGAAGCCUGCAGGGAACACUAGAAAAGCACACAAUUCUAACAGCUAGGACUUUGCUUGUAACUGGAAUAAAUUUUUUUGGAUGGCAUAAUCUGUUCGUGUUCUCUCUGAUUACUUUGACGAUUGGAUGUAGGGUUUUUGGGGUCUACCCCUUGGUUUGUGGUCCUCCACAAGAUCUAUAGUUAUUCAAACAAAAUGUCGCACUCAACCCAUUUGUUUACUACCCUCAAUGCCUCUCACUAUCCCCAUUAACUGUAUGUAUUGAAAUAUUAGGAGGUAGAAUCUUCAAGGAUAGCUCACGAAUUAGCGUAAUUUAGUCGCAAAUCCUGUCAUUAGAAACCAGCCAACCUGGAGUAUAAAAAAAAAUGAUUUGGAAAAGGUCCUUUCAACCAGGAGAUAAGUGUUUAUUAUAUGUCAAGUUGCAUGGGGGAAGAGAUUAGCAUGAAGCAUCAAGCAGUGGAGGUUUUCACCUUCCUAAGCGAGCGAGUUUAUCAUCCUUAUGUCUUGGCUAAAUCUCGAGGAAGAGAACGACAACCAAUUCAGGAUGACUUAGCAAUGAAGCUCCAUCUCAGAUUGAAAGGGUGACAAGAAAAGCAAAGCACACUUGAUCUCAAUUACUAAAGAGACAGAUCGAGGGAGUCACAGUCCUCUUCCUCUUAAUGUUAAGAAGAUUGGUUUACAAACACUUCUCUUCCAGAUGCCAAUGGCUUACAACUUCUGCAAACCAACAUUUGACUGGUUUCAUGCAAUGCCAUAAACCAGACAAUUCCUUUAGCCAAAACAAUGGAUUCUGCUGUUUAGAGCAGGGGUGUGCUCUGAACCAGCUUUGAGAAUCUGGAUGCCACAAUGGUAUCUAACAGGAAUAAUGAAUACCACAACAUGAACCAUCAUUUCUGUUCGGUCAAACCACAAAAAAAAAAAAACAAUGCAAAGGACAUGGCAACACCACCGGACAUGGUCUGAGCUUCCUCCUUGGUCUGCAUCAAUGGAACCUCAUGUUUACUGCUUUAUUUAGGAGUCCAUAUUAGCUAUAAAAUGUACAUGUACCUAUCUAGUUGCAUUAAUAGCUCUAGGAAAUUAAUAUCAAAUGAACUUCGAGUUCGAAUGUUACAGCUUACAUACUUCAAAUUACUUUAUCAACGGCCAAUAACAGAAAUCACAAAAUAUAUUAAGAAAAAGAAAUUGGAAGUAACAAGGAAAGUUUUGACUCCAAUAACACUUCAUUACAUCCAUAUCAUUUGAAAUGAAAACUCCAUCAAAGUCCACAAAUAAUCAAGCAAUGGUAGUUUGACAAGGUAUGCCAUAUAUCACUAAUUUGCAUUUGAUUUAACAAAAAAAUCAAAGAUUAAUACACACUGUGGGAUUACAAAUCUAUCUCUUUGGAUUGGCAAAAAGCUUGCAAUUGGCAAGAUAUCCAACUUACAGCUGAAAGAAUAAUAUACACACAAGUGCAAAAAACAAGAAAAACAAAAAUUGUCAUAUAAACCCCUGCUGAGGUUGUGAGAAUGUACUCAUUGGAAUUUCUGAAGCAGUAGCCUCAUUUAAAUUUCCAAACUUCUCUAGUUCUCUAGCAAUUUGUAUAUCGCUGGGCAUGAAAUACUCAGUAAAAGCCUUCAUAGCAAAACGAGGAACCAUCCCUGCUACCGUAAUGCCGAGUAAUAACAACCAAAAUAAUCCAGUCCCCAUUACAUGAUAGAUAGACCUGGCACCAAAACAAGGCAUCAGCAACUGUGCUCAAGGUACUCAUAAAAGCAGUUUCCUAUGUUGCAGUUAUAUAUGCUACUUUGAAGUUUGAAGGCAUAUAUAUGUGCUUAUGCACCAGGAAUACACAUAUGAAAAACUUUAUACAAGCAUGUGCAUGGCCAUGAUGGUUAUGCUAGGUUCCAACUGCCUCUGAUAGAAAUUCACAUGCUUUAAAAGUGUAAGUUAUUAGUGCCAUAAGUGGUAGGUCAUCAAAAGAGUCCUACAGAAACACAUAAUUACAACAGAUACAUGCAUAAAAUGAUAAAUUUGGGAAUGAGGAAAUACCAGUAACCCGGCAGUACUGGUAUGGAGUCUAUGAUGAUGACACAAAUGGCCGUGGCAACUAUACAGCCCCACAUAGAUGCAUGUGUGAUCCAAUUCCACCGAAACACAUCCAAGGCCAAGUGGAUGUUUACCAAAAUGACUACCGCAAGUGUCCAUAUGUCUCCUAAGCUGGAUCCAUCGAUGGUGCUGUGUCUGUAUGCAAGAAAAGGGAUGAAGAAAAUAGCCAGACUUUGCCAAACAGUGUCCAUCAUAGUUAGGAUGAACAACUUUAGGUUGUAUCUUUCUUCCCUUUGACCAGAACCAUAGAGCUGCGGGUACUUCAGCAGUGUCUUCCUACUCAGAUCCUUGUCCAGAAUUCCAACGACAAUGGUAGGAAGAGCUGUAUAGAUCACGGAAUACAACACACUACUCCAUUCAGUUAUUGCAGUCGUCAAGCUGAAAGCUGUAUAGAGUACAUACCUGCGGAUAACAGUCCAAAUGUUCUGUCAAGCAUUUAUAAUGGGUGAGAAAUCAAACAGAACAUAAACUAUUAGCUGUUAAGAGCACAGAUCAUAGUUUAACAUAUGGAUUUCAGGUUACAAACAUUAUCACCAAGGCUCAACUACAAAAAGAAUGUGUUAGGUUACUUUUAUACUUCUGCUCUUCAUUUCUAAUUAAGUACCUAUAAGGACCCGUGCGGACGUGUGUUUAGUCUCACAUUGGUUAUUUUCCAGAGAGAUCUGGGAUACUCAUAUAGAACUAAAGAACCCCAAAAAUAAAAUCCUUCCGGCUAGUCUCUUUGAGUGAGGUCCUAGGUUGUUACAAAUGGUAUCGUAAUAGAUCUAGCCCAUAGCCUAUGUGGAAUAGGGAACACUGCAGCAUGGGUUCAUGGAGGCUGACCACGGGCUGAUCGUGGUGCUUAUGAUUAGACUUGAAUGGAUUUGAACCCUUAGCCUGGCGAAGAUGCCAGGACUUCGAUAAGGAAAGUGUGAGGAUCCGCGCGAGUGUUUGUUUAGUCCCACAUGGCUAUGCACUGGGUAGAUCUUAGGUACUUAUACAGAGACAAGAAACCUAAAUAAUAUCUUUCGGCUAGCCUUUUCAGGUGAGAUCCUGAAUUGUUACAAAUAGUAUCAUAAUGGACCCAACCAUGGCCCAUGUGAACUAAGGGACAUUGCAGCAUGGGUUCAUUGAGGUUGACUACAAGCCGAGAUUAGAUUUGAAUGGAUUUGGAUUUUUAGCCUGAUGAGGACGUCAGGGCUUAAACGGAAGAAUAUGUGCGAACCCGUACAGACGUGUUUAAUCCCACAUUGGUUAUUCACUAGAAAGAUCUUGGGUACUUACAUAGGACUAAGAAAUCCAAAAAAAUACCUUCCAGCUAGCCUUUUUGUGUGAGGUCCUGGAUUGUUACACUACCAAAAUGGUGGUCACUUUAAUAAUGUGAUUUUAUUGACUUAGUGAGACUACAAUCCUAUAAGGAUGACUUAAACCUACAUUUUGCAAGCAUAAAAUAAAUAACAGGAUACCGAAAAUGGAAUCCUACAUCAGUAGUCAUGAUCGAUAACCUCUACAUUAAUAAAAGUAAAAUCAAACGCUUUGGAAGUUUCUGACUAGUUCACUAAAAGGUCACAACAUAGACAAUAUCCAAUAAGAUAGAUGGUUUGGUUUCUCAUACAAUUUGAAGCAUCCAAACUCACUGAAAGAUGUAUUUUAAGAUGACUACAUCAUGAACAAUUGUUUUGAUCCCAGUCUAUAUGCCUACAAUUGGCUUUAGAGUUUCCAGAUCAGUGCACCAACCUAUGCAUAUGAUCACCUCAUGUCUAUUAAACAUGGAGGUGGCUCACUCCAUCCAAACAGGCGGAUAUGUGGAUGCGACCCAUGUGCCCGGAUCGGCAUAGAUAUGGACAAUAAUAACCUUAUCAACCGCCAAGAAGAAGAGAUUUUUUAUUUUGUGGGGGUUGGGGGCGUGGGGGGGGGUGGGUUGCACUAAUAAACAUUUUACUUAUGCAUAAAAUCAUCAUGAAAGAGCUAUUUAUUCAUCUUAGUACGCACAAUCAUAAGCAAAUCAUUUUUCGUUUUUGAGCAUGAUUAGAUAACCAUUAAUCAUUGAGGAUUCUUCAAUUCUUCUAUUUCUAAAAGUUUCAUGACAAAUCUAAAAAAGAUCCCAAGAGAACAAAAGAGCACCAUUUGCAAUUAACAUUAGAGAAUACCUCUCAAUCUUCCAAAGAUAGCCCAUGAUUCCUCUUUCUGUGAUGAGAUAUUUAUUAGGUAACAAGAAAGCAAAAGAUGUUAAGUAGAUAUAUUAAGGUUAAAAAUUAUUCUGGAUUGUUCCAUUGAAACCUUUAUUUCUUUGGUAUAAAGACUAUGUCAAGGAUUCCAGAAAUUUAAGCCAAUCAUAAGUUCUGGGAAAUGAAAUUUAUGCCAGCAGUUUCGUGGACCAAAUCUCUAUACCAUUACCCAUGAAAGCAUCCCUGAACAUGCAUUGAAAUUCUAUAAGUUGGAUAUGUAACCAAAGUUUUAAGUCCUAGUGGGAUGGGUGUGUCUUGACUGUUCCAUCCCGUUCCUAUGAGAACACUAGGAUGGGAGUCGGGGCUCCUAAACCCAUCCACAUGGAGAAAGAAAAAGAAAGAGGAAAGAAAGAAAAGAAGAAAAGAUGAAGAAAAAGUAAAAGUGAAAGGAGAGAAGAAAAAGAAAAAGGGAAAAGAAAAAUAAAAAAAGAAAGGAAAGAAGGAAGAACGGAAAGAGAAAGAAGAAGAAAAAAGAAAGAAAGAAAGGAAGGGGUAAGAAAAAGAAAGAAGAAAAAUGAAAGCAAGGUAGGUAGAAGAAAACAAAGAAAGAAAAGAAGAAGAAAGGAAAGAAAGAAUGAAAGAGAUAAAGGAAGAGAGAAGAAAAAGAAAGGAAGAAAAGAAGGAAGAAAGGAAAGAAAGAAAAAAAAAGAGAGAAAGGAAGGCAGAAGAUAAGGAAAGAAGUGGAAAAAAGAAGAAGAGAAAAAGAAGAAAAAGGAAAAAAAGAAAGAAAGGGAUAAGAAAAAGAAAGAAGAAGAAGAGCAAAGAAAGGAAAGUAGAAGAAAAAGAAACAAACAAAGGAAAGAAGAAGGGGAGAGAUGGAUGGUACCUACCGGGACACUCGACCGGAACUGCCGUCGAGAUGGGGUGGGACAGCGGGGUGUCUUGUCCAUGGAGAAACCGAGAUACCCCCAUCUCAUAGAAUUUAAAACCUCAUAUGUAACACGUUCUGAUCCUACUCCUUUUCUUCCAUCAUGACAUAGAUGUAUUGUUGAUCCAAUGACAUGCUAUUUUGUCAUAGAAAUCAUCAUCUGCCAUCCAACCUUGCCAAAUCAUAACUUACUUUGUUCCCCGUAGAUUCCUUCUCUAAAUAAUUACUCUUUAGACUUUUAUAUCAAGUCCAAAUAAAAAAGGAUGGAGGGUUGAUGUUAGGUUGACUGCGUGGGAGGCCUUUUAAAUGUUGUCUACUACUUACGGAGCCUUUCCCAUCAAUAUGCACAAACUGCAACCUCCCAAAUACCCAAAUGCAUUGAAAGAUGACUUCUUGUUUAAUAUAUUCUCGCAACCAAUUCCUUUCCUCAAACUUUGACAGAUGUCCCUCCUCUCUAACAUCAAUGAAGAAGAAUUGGGCAUUGCACCCUCAUCUUGUUACAAAGUAAUUCUGUAUAUGCACCCUCAUCUUUCCAUAACCAAAUGUAUGCCAAAUGGUCAAUCAACAUACAAUCUGCAUAAAACGAUAUCAUGGUAGAGCAUGAGCUUUAAGAUUCACAUCUGAGAAUAGUAAUGAACGUCAGUUCCCCUUUUCUGGCAAUCCUGCCUCUAUCAUAGUUUGCUCCUAUCUUGCCAUACUCAAAAGGAUAAUGAACCUCAACAAUGAAUCACCUAAUUGCACCAUCACAUAAGUUCCGACCAUCAAGUUCUUUUGUCAGUACUCGAGUGAUUUUAGUUACCAGACUAAUGAUCUCCGAAAAUCCAUAACCAAAGAUCAUAUUUAUCUCCGAAAACCAUCCAUCUCACCUCAAUUGCAUAUCAUUGGUCUCAACUAUGAGGAAGGAAACUCAAACACCACCAUUUCGGUCCUCAAAUUCCUAAAAUUAAGGUUUCUGACUGCAGAAAAAAUGCCCGGAUUUUUAAGCUAGAAAACAAUUACCUAAUUGAAACAAUAUUUAUGUAUGCUUCGUCCUUGUAUGCAGUCAGCUUGCAUUAAGUGAAACAGGUUUCACUAGAAAUGAUAAGGUUUCUUCAGCUCCACUUUGUUUCGUCAAUAUCAUAGAUAGAUGGUGCUUAAUAUUCAUUGCAGUCUUGUCGACACCUUUGGAGUCUCUGGUAAAUUAAGCUGGGUAAAGACAUAUAGAGGCUUGUUUCUGAAAGGCCACCAUGAUUUUGGUGACCUGGGUAAAGACAAUGCAGAUAAUUUCUAAAUUAAGCACAAUGCAGGUUACCAAAACCUUAAGCCCCAUAAGGGUGCCACAAAGGCUUGUUUCUUCCUAAUCCCCCCCAUGGCUCAGAAUUGCAUUGAAGACCUCAAUUUCUACAUAAAACUACCUAUUCUAGGCAUAUAUUAUGCUAUUGGUUAUUUCCAUCUAAAGAGAAGCAGCAACAAUGUGUCACCCAUAACAACCUUCCUAAAGGCAAAGUUAAAAUUCUCAGAUAGCAAGGUAACUUUAGAAGGCUUUUCUUCUUCUUUCUUUAUUUAUUAACUUUUUUUCUUAAGAUUGUGAUGUUAAUUAACAUGUCCAUCUACAUGAAGCCUAAUUUGUGGAUUUUUUAUUCAAUAUAGUUUUGGAUGUAUUACCCAUAUAAGAAACAAUAUACAACAGUUUAAUGGAGAAACAGUUCUACUUUGUGCUUCAUGGCAUCCCUUUAAUGCCCUUAUAUUAAAUAUAAUUCAUCAAGUAAAUAUUGAUAUAUUAAAAGAAUGGAAGUAGAUGAACAGAAGAGGUUCGAGCAAAAAUAUAGUGAAGUUCAUCCUUUGACACGUGUUCAUUAGUUUUUCAAACAAAAAAAGUAUUCAUUCAAAAAGAGCAAUAAUGAGAAUUUAAUAAAUCAACAAAAACAAUGAUCAAAAUUUUUAUGCAAUCCAUUCAGAUUGAGUAAAACUACUGACGAGAAUGCUUACCAGAAAAGCAUGAAGACAAAUACAGCAUUCCUGUAAAAGUUGUAUAAGAUCAUGUAGGCCAUCCUUUGGUAAUUCCAAUGACCAUGAACCAAUAAAAGAGUUACUAAGAAUCGGAACUGUCCCAUGGCAAAAUCCGAGGCCAUGACAGCUUGUCGUCCCUCUUGGCCACUGAUGCCAACCCCAACAUCAGCCAUUUGGAUCAUUGAAACAUCAUUUGCACCUAUAAAAGAAUGUAUUCAUAAAAUUUAAUCCAAAGCAAAGCAAUAUACAUGCUAUAGUUCAUACAAAGUAUUGAUUUAACAUAUUAAAAGUAAACAUGAUAAAAAAAUAAUCAAGCAAUUUUGGUACCAUCUCCAAUAGCAAGAGUCAUAUCAUCUGUUCGGUUCUUUAUAAGUGCAACUAUCCCAGCUUUUUGGAGUGGAGCCACACGGCAACAUAAGACAACAUCGCAUGCUGUAGCUACUUUGAAUAACUGCAACAUCAAAGCAAAGAAGAAUAAGACAACUGUUAGAUUAUAAAGUCGGAGGUGAAGUAAAGGAUCAAAAAAUUGCUGAUUGCAUAUUAAAUGGAAUCAUGAAUAUACCUCUUCUUCCAGCUCAGUUUCAAGAAUAUACACAAGGCUGGUACCAUCAAUGAUCAAAGCGAUAGGGACCCUCUGAGAUUCAGUGCCUGUUAUAGUAUUCUGUGCCCCAAGAGACAUUGCUGCUAGUCUGUCAGUCAUGGCAAUCGCAUCUUCUAGACUCUUUCGACAAUAAUCCUUGGAAUGACUAUUUAUAACAAUCUGAGUCAUUUCACUUGUUAGGAGCUUACAAGAAUAGCCAAUGGAAAUGGCAGUUUCUUGCUUAUCACCUGUCAAAACCCAGACCUUGAUCCCUGCUUGUCUAAGAGAUUCUAUGGCUUCAGGUACACCCUGUUGCAGUUUAUCUUCAAUUCCGGAGGCCCCCAAUAUGUGGAGAUUACAUUCUACAUUAGCUGCAACUGCUCGUAGUAAGCCUCCCCUCCCAAACAGUGUUGUGCUUGCUUUCUCAUAGGCAGACUGCCAGUCAUCAAACUCAGCUCUACUCAACUCUCGCAUACCGAUGACCAAUGUUCGAAGACCCAAUGAUGAGUAGGCAUGAAGGUGAGUCUCAGUUGCUUGAAUUAUAUCCAAAUUUAUAGAUCUCUCUAUGACUCCAAACAUAGAAUUGUCUGCACCUUUCACAAAUAGUUUUACUGUCUUAUCAGGACAGCCAAUGAUAACCGACAUCCUCUUGCGGUCACUAUCAAAUUCAUGGAGGCCCAACACAUCAAAUCUGCAUUUCAAAUGACAUCCAAAUAGAUACAAUCACAAGUUAUCUAGGUGAAACUGGUCACUGUAAGAGGCUACUGAAAUCAAAGUAAAGUUUACCAAUCUAUAAAAGACUUUUUAAAAAAUAACAAUAAUUUCAUUCCAAUAAUCAAAACCAAUGAAGACCUAAUAAAGCCAUCAGAACUACCAUGAACAUCGAACCCUGCGUCCACUAUAAGAUAAAUUGCGAACCACUAAUACUGGUUUUGCUACAAGCUCACCUAGAAGUGCAAGCACUGUGAGCUUGCUAAUCAUCAUUGUUAGCAAUAUUAAUCAACUUAACAUUACAAGCACAUGCACUGUCAAUAAUACCUAGUCAGUACAAAGAGCUAGUGCAACAAAUCACCAUCAGCAAGAGAAAGAACAACUGCUCUGCAGCUGCUCUCCACUGACAGCCAUAUACAACAAAAUGAAUGACACAAAGAACAACCACCACAACUACAAAAGUUAUAUCUACUAUUUAAAAAUGCAUGUCUUAACAAACAUGACAUUAAAUAAGGAAACUGUCAGCCAUGAUCACUACAACCAGAAACAUUGCUCAUGCAAAUUCCAGUACUGCUAUUAGAAUCUGAACUCAAGCUAGUCGAAUAAAAGAUUAGCCUUACGAAAGAAAAAAACUAACAGUCCUAUUUUGACCACUGCUACCACCACAAUUACUGACAUAAUCAGUGAAAAGCCAGAAAUUGCAUGCACUAACUACUUAGCCUAGAGCAUCAAUCCAAUCAUGCAAGCAAAUAAAUUUUUUUACCUCAGCCUUUCCCCAAGAACAUCAAUGACUAUGUGCCCAGAGGUCCGUUCGACAAGCACAAAGCCGUAUGCAGCAGCUGCAUAAACCAGUGCCACCUCAUCAGGAGACUCACCCUGAUAAUCUAUCAACUUCCGCUUAGGGUCUGGAGUCUCGACAGUCAGAGGCACAAUGGUAUUGCAAGCUGCAAGUGCAAGGAAGAACUCACGGGCACGCAUUCCUUCCCCCCUCUCCCCUCCACUUCUCAGUAACCUCACUAGCUGAGGGUCAGUCUUCACCAACAGUUUUGGCCUCCAGAACUGAUCGCCUACUGUCAUGACACACCAUCGAAGAAAAGAUGCAAUCUUUUUAAGUACAGCUUGCAAUCGAAUCAUUAAUUCACACACACACAAAAAAAAAGGGAGAGGAAAAAAAAAUCACACUAAUAAAAACAUAAGUGAAGGCCAUACUACCUACAACUGAAUACGCUUCCCCAUCUCCCGGCAAAGAAGCUUUCCCACCACUGUAAUCGACCCCGUUAAUGCUUGCACACUGGAAUUCCAUCUUGUUCUCCGUCAAAGUCCCAGUUUUGUCUGAGAACACAUACUUAAUCUGCCCCAAAUCCUCAUUUAUGUUCAAUGCCCUGCACUGGAACCUCGAAUUUGAGGCCUCAUCAUACAAACUCGCGUCCCGAAUCAUGAAAUAGGCCUGCCCGAGCCGAACCAGCUCCAUCGAUAUGUAAAGAGAAAUGGGAAUCAUGAUCUGGAACACGAUGACUGACAUUAGGAGCGUGAAAAAGAUCUGCAUCCCAAUUCCAUAGUAGUUGUAAGAACUAUCGUCAUCAGGCGAGGCCCUCUUCCUAAAAUAGGGCGAGUAAUCCAGCUCAUCCUUGUGGUUCCUCAGCCAAACUCCGGCAAGAACACACACUACUAAGCACAAAGUAAUUAGCAGCCCGGAGAGGAGCAGCGUCUCUCUGUUCAUAUGGGUCUCCAGCCGGCUCCUCUUCGACGGCGCCCCCGAGCUAUUGAGCAUAACCUUAGUCUCCGUCCCGGCAUACACCGCCACGCCGACGGCCCAAGCCGUGUUCUUUAUCUCGCAACCCCGGAGAACUAUAUUUGGAGGCCCCAAAGACACCUUUCUUCCGUCGAUUUCCAUGUUAGCAUGGAAGCCGUAGAUGUUCCGAUUCGGCCUCUCGCACCGGAUGAAGCCGGUGAAUCCCUCCAUGUCGACGGACUUUGAAAGCGUCUCCUGCUUGGCGUACCGAGUCUUAAGGUUCGACUCGCCGUCGAGGUUGAUGGUCUGGACGUAGGCGACGCCGGUGGGGUCGCUGGUGAAGAGGAGGACCAUGUCGCAGGGGAUGCUCUCAUUGGCGGCGAUUCUGAUGAUCUCGCCGACGCGGAUAUCCUUCCAGCGCACGGGCUGGAAUUGGCGGCCGCCGGCGCCGGCGCCGGCGAGGACGCUGGCGGUGCGGCCGUUCUCGAUGCGGUCGGAGCGGUGGCGGCGCCAGUCCUCGUAGGCGUCCUUGACGGCGGUGACGAGGAGAACGAAGGCGAGGGGGAGCACGGAGGCGCCGCGGCCGAAGACGGCCAACUGAGGGAGCUGGUUGAGAACGGCGAUUACGAGGAAGUAGAUGUAGGCGACGCGGUGGAAUUGUUCGAAGAGGUUGCGGGGGAGGAAGGUGAGGACGGAGUACUUGCCGGUGCGGAUAGAGUUGCCGGCGAACUCGAAGCGCUCGUUGGUCCUGGAGGGGUCGUUGAUGUAGACGAGGCGGGCGUCGUCGUCGGAGAGCUCCCUCUGGGAAGCGGCGAGGCGGUCGGAGUCCGCGCGGGAGCCACGGCGAGGGACGGGGGUGUCGGCGACGAAGGAGAUCCGGUCGACGCGGGCGGAGCGGGCGGCGGGAUCGAGUCGGAUGGGGGGCUCGGGGAGGAGAGGAGCAGGUGGAGGGCGUGGGGAUGGGUCCAAGAGAGGCCGGUCCUGGGCCAUUUUUUUGGCUUCUUGCGGUUAGGGUUAGAGAAGGACGGAAGCCAUGAUUUCUGGUAUUGAGCUAAGACUUGCCAGGAAUUGAAGAACGAAUGAAGAUGAGAGAGAUAUUAAGAGGAGGAAGAGGAGGAGAAGGGAAGAAAGACCAGGAGAAGGUCAAAGGCGGAGUCGUAGAGAGAGAGGGAUGAUUUUUUCGGGUUGAAUUGGUUUAAUAGAAAUAAAAGAUUAGAAAAUAGGGAGGGAAGGAGUGGAGGAAACAAACAAGCAGGGAUUUUUAAAAGGGAGGGGGCGUUGGGGGGUGGUUAAGGCACUGGUGCAGUAAGUUGGUGAGCGAAAGCCGUAUGAGCCUCCGAGAGAGAGAGAGAUGUUUUAUGUGAUUGAAAGUUGAAUCGCGGACAGAGAAGGGUUUAAGAUUGUGAAGAAAUAAAUGCAAUCUUGCUGAGAAAGAAGAUGGGAUAGAGAUGAUAGAGAAAGAGGACGGUGAAAGCGAGAAGAGAGGAGGAAGAAAAGGAGAGAGAAAGGAGAGGGAGCUUCUAGAAGGAUUCUAUUCAAUGCAACGGGACCGUGUUAAAAAUAAUAGAAGGAAAUGUAACACCGCGGGACACGUUGGGAGUAAGUAGGAGGAGGCCGUCUUGGUUUGGAGCCGCGUGGAGAGAGGGGGAGAGAGAGAGCGAUGGUUCCCUCGAUCUGGGCCGGCCAGGCUUUUGGGAGCUUCGGAUUUUCCGAAGAGGAGAUAGAUUCGGAGGACGAAUCCAAUGGGUGCGUGCGUGGAGGGUUCAAACACAUCCGUCUCCAACCCAUGGGGUAGGGAUGUCGAGGCAAAGUUGCGUAAAGUUUCUGAUGAUCGUUUUUUUUCCUCCCUCCCACGGGUAGAAACUUCUUAUCAAAAUUACUUUUGAUAAGAAGCAGAAUCCGCGAACGCCCAAGGUCCGCCCAAGUUGACCUUCAAUUUGACUUGUUCCCAACCAUCUCUAAUACAUGUUACUCCUUUUGCUUUCAACGCUACUCUUAAACCAACGCUUGAUUCACAUGAGUCGCAUCGAAUAGGUUGUUAAUGUGCACCAUAAGGAUGUGGCUUGAGACCUGAGGAUCCCAAUUCACUUUAGAUCCAUGUGGCCAUUUUCGGUUAAUUUGGACAACUAGCUUGCCUAGCCGUGGUAGUUGGCAAGUUAAAGGAAUUGGACUUACAUCAUCUUUAUCUACAUUAUUCUACCAAGACUCAUAUUAUAGAAAUAAUGAAGUAACUGUUGUGGUUCAAAUUUGGCCCGACGGUGACCACGCCGGAGAAGUCAGAAGAGCUGCCGGCCGCAGCAGAGAAAGGAAGACCACCUCCCGUGCGACGACGUACCUGUACAAAGCCUCACCGGUGGUUCCGAUGAGGGCCCUCCGAUGCUCAAGUUAGAAUGGAUCUUAGUUGGUCCAAAAGUUUCCUAAGCGUUACCUGAUGGGGCUAUUUAUAGUCCCCGUAGAGGUGCCCAGGUGGCAAAGGUAUGGCCCAUCCUCAUUAUAGGAUAAGAUGGCUUUUAUUCAGAUGGCGCGCAGCUAAAACUUGCUUAAGGCGCAUGGCGUAGACCGUUCCUAUGAAUGGUAAGGUGUUAAUAGGUGUGGCAGGGUAUGGCUGGAGCAACAUGGCGUCAUCCUUGGUUGUCGUUGGCCAGCAAGCAAAGCAUAGCGCGGUAAAGUUGUAAUGUACGUCCACGUGUUUUGGCGUGGGCACGCACGUAGAUGCGAUCAUGGGUGAGGUCAAGCUCGAUGACAGGUCGCAUCAUAUAUUCGAUGAGGACUGCUUGGCGGGUGCUGAGGUCGGCCUAGUCUCUCUGAUUCCGAGGUUUACUCGGUAAGGUGCCUCGAGCUCGAGGGUCGGGGCAUGUUAUUGGAUAGGGCGCCCCGAAUUUGGCCGGGGCGUACCGUCGAAUAUCAAAGGCGCCCCGAGCUCAGUCAGGGUGUGUCGGCGAAUAUAAGGGCUCUCCAAGCUUAGUCGGAGCACAUCGUUGUAUAGUCCUAUGGUCGAAAGAGCUCUUUGGCUCACAGCCGACAUAGCAGGGCGCUCCGAGCUCAGGCUCGGGAUGUCAUUAGAAGAGAUUGCUGCAGGUCGUAGCAGCGAAGAGAUCCGUCCGAGGUCGACUGAGCCUUCGGCGAAGUUCGAGAUCGGGCUAACUCUUAGCAGGACCGAAGUCUGGCCUGGUUGGUGUCGAGUUCUUUCCGGCUAGAAUGGAAUAAUCCCUUGUCCUAAGCAGAAUGAUCCAUUUUGCCCCCCAUCAGUAACUAUUUGUAUUUUAUGAGAAAAAGUAACUACUUAUAUUAUAUAUUAAGGAGAAAAAAAAGCUCCCAAGGCUGAUCAAGAUGGAAUUAGUACUUCCUAAUGUUAGAAUAAUUUUAGGAAUCACAUAACAACCUACAUCACUUAUAAUAUUUUUCUUUAUCAGCGUGAUUCUGUGUCAACUUUUUCUUUGCUAACAUAAUCUUACUAGAAUGACUUUAAGAAUCACAUGACAAUCUGUAUCACCUAUAAUAUUUUUCAUUAUUAGUGAGAACCUAUAUCAACUGAUAUUAUUUUCAUAUAUAGAAUUNNNNNNNNNNNNNNNNNNNNNNNNNNNNNNNNNNNNNNNNNNNNNNNNNNNNNNNNNNNNNNNNNNNNNNNNNNNNNNNNNNNNNNNNNNNNNNNNNNNNNNNNNNNNNNNNNNNNNNNNNNNNNNNNNNNNNNNNNNNNNNNNNNNNNNNNNNNNNNNNNNNNNNNNNNNNNNNNNNNNNNNNNNNNNNNNNNNNNNNNNNNNNNNNNNNNNNNNNNNNNNNNNNNNNNNNNNNNNNNNNNNNUCCACCACGAUACGGGUCCACCACGACUUCUAUGCUGAAUUGAACCCAUCUUGGUCUUUCCAUUAGCCGUCCAAAUUGACGCGGUCCAGUUGGACCCAUGCUUUGGAUGGUUGAAUCAAAUGUAGUAAUGGGGGUCUCCAAACCACCAAAGCUAGGUCUGGCCAAGUCAAACCUUGCUUGGGUGUUCAAAAGCAUAUGUUUCCUCUCCAUUGCACUUCUAUAUAUUUUUCCUUCUGAAAACGUGUUUUUUUGUUGUUUGGUUGGAAUUAAACCAAACCUUCUCACCCAUGCCUAUUGUAAAUAAUAGAUAGAACAUAAUAUUCCCACUGUUUUGCUAAGGAAAAACUUCAUAAUUUAAAUCAGAAGCAGCAUCCCGUUUCUUCUGAUUAAAAGAAAGAAAAGAAAGAAAAGGUAAUAUCUUAUUUCAUUGCAUGUUGCUCGUUUCUAGAAUGACUGAUCUAUGUAUUGAUCUUCGGCUUUUACUUAUCAAGUUUGGAUCCUUUGUGAUAUAUUUUUUGCACCCCAGAGUGUUGUACCAUCUUGGAUAGUUGCCACAUUACUUAUCUUGGAGAUGGAUGGCCGCCACUCGUGAGAAUUCAGAGCCAUAAAUAAUGAGUGCUCUAGAUGAAUGGUAGCUGUCCAUCACCGAGAUGGAUGACAUAGUGGCUAUCCACCACAAAGGUUCUCGGGUUUUACUUAUUUAUCUUAGAAGAAGAAAGAGUUAGAGCACAAUCGAUCACAUCAAAAUAAGAGACACGUCAUCGAUAUCCAAUCUUUAGAAAAGCACCUUCCAUAUUUUGCACACGAAUCUUCCUUCCAUUGAAAUGAAGAUGCACACCAACAAAAGUUGUUAGCAUUAGGAAAAAACGGCCUACUAAUUUACUUUUUGGCAUCUAGUCUUGAUAGAUCAAAUGAUUAUUUUAAAAACACUCCUCCUAUCCACAAAACAAAAUUAAAUCGACCUCCAAAACUAAUGUGGCAAGUUGUUGACUCUUCUGCAGGAGGAUUUCCCCAUAACUUAUUGAUUCUUCUAUCUUGGAUUCCAAUGUCCUCUUUGUAAGGGGACACUUGGUGUCUCUUUCUUGAACUACUUCACUCUGUUGGAAAGUUGUAAUGAAUUCCACAGGAACGGAUUAUUCUUCUUUAUACGACAUAUCAGUGGACUUUUGGGAACCAGUCCUCCUCUCGGCCUGUCCACUUCCACAGGAUGGUAGGAUUUGGUGCAAUUGGUGCUUAUCACGGAGUUUCUGAUCAUCAAUUGUGACCCUAAGAUCUCAUGACGUACCUUUCUCUCCUUAUCUGUUUGUUUUUCUAUUAACUAUUAAGUGCAGUUGAGAUUGUUCACUCACAAAUUCAUGGGCAAGGACAACCAAUUACGUUACGAUAACUGUUUUGCUGAUGUUUAAAUUAAAAUUAAAGUUUUGCUUACGAAAUCGUCAUCUGUCUCCCAGCAUUCACUCUUUUGAGGUUGUGUUUGAUGAGGAACAAGGCUGAAUAGACCUUAUUCUUAGCAAACAAUUAAGUCUUCAAAAUAUAUAUAUGGGAGGAGCAAUUGCUUUGAUCAAAACUGCUUCUUCCUGGAAAAUCUAUUCAAGGGGUUGAAAUAACUUCAUUCCACAAUUAAGGCCCUCUUUAGUUCGCAGCCCCUUUGUUUAAAUGGACAAAAAUGCUGCCAGUCCUAUAUCUUUGUGCGUCUAAAGAAAGGGGACAAAGAUACUGUCACUCCUACAGUUGUUCCAACCAGGAAUAAGAAAUUUCAUCCAAACAACAAGAAUAAUAGCUAUCCCUCUUUUAGAUUUCCUUACUCUCAAAAACAAAUGCAGACUAAAUAUUUAUUUUAGAGAAUACAUGGCUUGGAGGAUAGUUCUAUGAUUUUUGAACCGACCAAUCACUAAAUUUAGAAUCUACUCAAAAAAAAAAAUCUCAAUUUUUAAGCAAUCUUAGUCUUAUUGGACAUCUAAGCACACAGAAUUUUUUAGUAGAUUGAAGCUAAGAAGACCCCUUGCUCCUUUUUUUUAAAUGACAACCCUACUUCGUGUAUGUAGAGCGUACCGCAUAAAGCGAAGGCUCGAGGUCCACGCCAUCAACCACCUUCUCCUAGCUAAAGUCUAACUUUUCCUUUUGUGGACCAGAAAAGUUAGACCUCAAGACUGAAGAGACUCAUGGCAAUAUACGUGGCAUAGAAACGUAUGCGGUCGCCAUAAAAGAUGGUCCAACCUGACUGCUAAACGGAACUCAAGAAAGCUAGACAUUAGAUCCUCUUCAAUAAUUGAGGGGUCCAGUUCAAUUGCAAACCCCCAUUUGUGGAUACAAUCCAUUUAUAUCCUAAACUACCACUACUACUAAGCUAUUUCCUCUUCAAUAAUUGAGGGGUCCAGGUCAAUUGCAAACCGCCAUUUGUGGAUACAAUCCAUUUAUAUCCUAAACUUCUGCUACUACUAAGCUAUUUCCUACUGGAAAAGGCUAAAGAUCACUUGCUACUGAUCUUUGCUCAAUUCGCCGGGAGAUGCGGAAGUUGGUGAUUGGCUAAGCAAAAGCGGAGACACCACUAACCCUACCAUGCAUGGCACCAAUCCCUAAUUCUAGGUAAAUUGAGCGGUGAUCGUUAGCAAAAGAUCGGUAGUAGUAAUGGUAGUAGUAGUAGGAGCAGUGGUCAUUUUUAUUUUUGUCACCAUCAUUGAAUCAUAACAAAUAGAAGCAAACAAUGAGAAAGACCAACAAACGAGCAUUAGAGUGCACAACAGAACCACUAACCAACCUCUCCUAGAAAAGACAAUAAUAGAAGACAAAAUCAACCAAGAUGCAAAAGCUGAAGUAACUAUCACUACCAUGAUGAUGAUAAAUUAACGCAAAAUUUAAAGUUCUACGGUGCAGCAGCAGAAUAACAUAGAUGUAACUAAAUAACAAGAAGAGUUAGGAAGUGUACCUUUGCCUUUCACCAAGGACAUUGACGAUUAUAUGCCCUGAAGUCCGUUCCAUGAGCAUGAAUCCAUGAGCUGCAGCAGCAUAGACCAAUGCCUGCUCAUCAGGGGAUUCGCCCUGAUAGUCGAUGAGCUUGGUUGCCGGAUCUGGUGUCUCGAUCACUAUCGGCACGAUGGUGUUACAAGUCGCCAAGGCGAGAAAGAAAUCACGAGCGCGAUUUGCCUUCUCUGUUCCCUUGCCACCCCUCAGAACAUUCAGCAGCUCUGGAUCAGUCUUAACACUCAUCUUUGGUCUCCAAAUCUGACCAUUCACUGUUCAAAAUAUUAAGAAAAACAAUGAAUUUACUCAUCCUUUAUGGAAUUGUUAUGUAAGAAAUGAUUGUUUAUAUCAUCUAUUUGUCACGACUCUUUCUUACAAUAGAUUACUGUUCCUUGUGAUACUUGUGCAACCUGUUUUAUGAAAAGAUGCCAUCAAGCUCAUGUAUCAUGUGGGGGUCCAACUACCAUCGCCGAGUCGGACCAUAGACUUAAUGUGCUACUUGGAGGAUACUGUACCUAAUUAUCCAUCCUCUCUAUAAAGACAAACUAUCUGGAUGAUGCCUUCAAGGCUUUUACUGGAAGUAUUUCUCGUUUCUAACGACGAUGUCACAUAUUAAUUCAUGUGGCUAGAUGCAAAAUGACAUCAUGCCGGCAUGGAGCUGCAUUCUUGGCAGCAGGCCAACCUUCUAUGUCAGGUCCUAGUGUCUCACCACAUUACCAUGUGAAGUUAUACACAUGGAGGGAAAUUGCUUAGGUCUCAACUAGUUGCAAUCAAACUGCAGACACAGAGUUGAUGGUAUCAACUCUGUGUUUGAGCUAUCAAUGGCAUGUAGGAAGACCCCAUCCUUUGGAGUUAAUGCUUGUGGUCUAGAAAAAUAGAUCAUGGAGAGCACAAGUAAAUAACUAAAUGAGAGUAAUGCUGCCACCUACCUGAGAUGAAAAGCCCGUUCUCCUCAUCAUCCUGGCCUCCACUAAAAUCCAUCCCAUGGACACUGGCACACCGGAACUCCAUCUUGUUCUCUGUCAAAGUGCCUGUUUUAUCCGAGAACACGUACUUGAUCUGCCCCAAAUCCUCAUUUAUAUUCAAUGCCCUGCACUGAAACUUGGAUUUGGUCUUCUCAUCACGCAUUCCCUUAUCCUGAAUCAUGAAGAAGGCCUGCCCCAAUCUCACCAGCUCCAUAGAUAUAUACAAGGCUAUUGGAAUCAUAACUUGGAACUGAAUCACUGCCAUCAUGAAAGUAAACACGGUCUGCCAUCCAAUACCAUAGUAAUCAUAAUUGUCGCCGUCCGAAAAAUUCUUCUUCCGGUAGUACGGCAGGUAGUUGAGCUCGUCGCGGUGGCGGUGCAGCCAUAGACCGGCGAGGAUUGUAACAACAGAGCACAAUGCAGUAAGAGAGAUGGCUAGAAAUAUCGUCUCCCGGUUCAUAUGAGUCUCGAGCCGGCUUCGCUUCGAUGGCGCCCCAGAGCUGUUGAGCAUCACCUUGGUGUCCUUGCCGGUGUACACCGCGGCGCCGACGGCCCAAUUGGUGUUCUUGAGCUCGCAGCCUCGGAGAAUUAUGUUCGAGGGGCCGAGCGAGACUCUCUUGCCAUCGACGUCUAUGUUGGCAUGGAAUCCAUAUAUGUUGCGGUUCGGCUUCUCGCAGCGAAUUAGGCCUGACAUGGAUUCAGGCGGCGUCGAGAGCGUCUCCUGCUUCGCGUAACGAGUCUUGAGGUUGGACUCGCCGUCGAGAUUGAUGGUCUGGACGUAGGCGACGCCGGUGGGAUCGCUGGUGGAGAGGAGGACCAUGUCGCAGGGGAUGCUCUCAUUGGCGGCGAUUCUGAUGAUCUCGCCGACGCGGAUAUCCUUCCACCGCUUCUGCCGGAAUUCGGCGUCGACCAGUGCGGAGACCAUCCGGUUGUUCUCGUUGCGGUCGGAGCGGUGGCGCCGCCAGUCCUCGUAGGCAUCCUUGACGGCGGUGACACCGAGGACGAAAGCCAGCGGCAGGACGGAGGCGACGGGGCUGUACACGUCAAGCUGAGGGACUUGGUUCAGGCCGGCAAGGACGAGGAAGUAUACGUAGGCAAGACGGUGGAACUGUUCGAAGAGGUUGCGAGGGAGGAAGGUGAGGAUGGAGUACUUGGUGGUUCGUAUCGAAUUGUUUGGGAAUCUGACGGGAUUGUUCGUCCUGUCGGCGUCGUUGAUGUACACGAACCGAGCCUCGUCGUCGCUGAUCUCCCUCUGCGAGCCGAGCCGCCCGGAGUCGGAGCGCUUGGAAGGAUACCGGCGAGCCGGCUUCGAGUCCGAGCGGCCGAAGUUCUCGACGGAGAACGUUGCCUUCGAGCUAGCCUUCAGCUCUGCGGCGAAGGAGAAUUCGCUGCUGGAUGGAGUCCUGUCUGCGUUCCGGGAUCGAGAGGACCUGCGAGAGGACGAUUUUGCGACUGCAGGAGGAAUCGGACCGGCGGAGUUAGUUUCAGUGCGAGCUGCGGGAUUUGCCCCCUGCGGCGAUGGAAUUAGCAGGGGCCGACCGGAGGCCAUGAUCGAAAAGCCAAGGGAGGAUUCAGGAGCUUGGAAUCUAUGAAUUCAUGGCUAAUCGAAGUAUUCACCGUGCAAUUGGAUUGAAGAACUUUCGAUGGUUUUGGGAGGGAGGGCGAAUUUGGAGAGGUGGGGUGGUGGAGAUAUGGAGGCUUGGUUUCCAAGAUAACAAGCCUUUGCCAAGGAGAUGGCGGCUAAAAGAAAAUUGUAUAGUGAAAGGAGGGAAUCGGGAGAGGACAAGGGAGAAGUCAGAAGGGAGAGAGAGAGAGAUAUAUGGACCGGAAAGUCUUCGCGUGGGCUUCCAGAGGGGGCUUCUUAGAAGGAACGGAAAUGGGAGAUUGGCUCCUGGCCAAUGGAUGUUGCUUUUGAGUUGGCUAAUCUUAGCUCAUGUCCUCGGUCAGAAAGAAUCCUCCAUCGCCAUGUUUCAAACUAAUACGCUGUUUUCCUUGUGGUCUUUCUAGAGGGUCAGCUUAAUUGGUCCAAGAGCUAAUAAAUACAAGACUGUUCUCACAAUUCAAUACAUGAUUGUACCUUUUACUUUUAUUUGUUCUAGAAUUAGAUAAAUUCCACGUAGAUGUUCUUGAAUUCCAGGCGUCUGAGAAGUUUGAAAAAUGUUAUAAACUUGCCCGUGCAAGCACGUGCUGCAUGAUGGAAGAAGAUUCUUAUCUCCUUUUGAUAUAAAAUAAAUAAAUUUAUGAUCUAUUAAUUUAUAUCAUAAGUUUAUAACAUAUUAAAGAAGUAAUUUUAGUUUAGCAAGUUAUGUUUGGAACAUUAGAUAAAUCUUUUUUUUUUUUCUGGGUAAAACGAGGGGGGGGGGGCCCACUAGGCCCUCCUAGCCUCCUUUCACUAGAAAAUGUUUGAUGUGGGUAGAAUUUUUUCUCGUACCCUCUCCGACCUGUGGGUCAUCCCGCGUGUAAGUACGUCAUCCCAGCGCUACCUCAGUGCUAGUUAGACCAUAUAGCGUUCCCAUCGAGUAUGUCUAAGUGGAGGGCAUCCGGUCCUCACAUUUAAUCAACGCCCGCGCGUUUCGAAUCUAGACCGCGUCGGUGGAAGCAAAGCUCCGUUUCAAUUGUGCUACUAUCUUGGUGGCCAUUAGAUAAAUCUUUGGGAGCUGCGGUAGAUUGCUACUAUUUCUAAAUUGUGGCAUUCUUGAAAAAAUGCACAAAAUGUUGGAAAAAUUAAAUGUGCACGUGGCUAUUCUCGGGCCCCCGCUAUAAUUUUCCUCCACGGACAAGUCUGCAAAAAGACCAAAAUAGCCUUGCUUAAAAUCCUUAUAAAUACCCCUUGGUUUCAUCUUAUUGGUGACACGAAAAAAUAGAGAAAAAUAUCAAAAAAUUCACCGGCGUAGCAGCCCCCACUAGGCCCUCCUAGCCUCCUUUCACUAGAAAAUGUCUGAUGUGGGUAAAAUUUUUUCUCGUACCCUCUUCGACCUGUGGGUCAUCCCACGUGUAAGUACGUCAUCCCAGCGCUACCUCAGUGCUAGCUAGACCAUAUAGCAUUUCCAUCGAGUAUGUCUAAGCGGAGGGCAUCCGGUCCUCACAUUUAAUCGACGCCCGCGCGUUUCGAAUCUAGACCGCGCCGGUGGAAGCAAAGCUCCGUUCCAAUUGUGCUACUACCUUGGUGGCCAUUAGAUAAAUCUUUGGGAGCUGCGGUAGAUUGCUACUAUUUCUAAAUUGUGGCAUUCUUGAAAAAAUGCACAAAAUGUUGGAAAAAUUAAAUGCGCACGUGGCUAUUCUCGGGCCCCCGCUAUAAUUUUCCUCCACGAACGAGUCUGCAAAAAGACCAAAAUAGCCUUGCUUAAAAACCUUAUAAAUACCCCUUGAUUUCAUCUUAUUGGCGACACGAAAAAUUAGAGAAAAAUAUCAAAAAAAUUCUGGAGAAAAGUUCUUCCUCUUAGCCACUUCUGUUUUUUUUAUUUUUGCAAUUAUAUUCAGUUUAUUUUAUUCUUUUUAUUUCGUUCUUUGCUGGAUCUGCAAGUCCGAUCGGAUUCAAUUUGGCUUCUUCCGAGACGUACCGAAGAAGAAGUUUAGGAUCGUCGUAUCUCUGAGGAGGAUUGCCGAAAGAUCCGUACAUGGGGACAAACACUUCUUCGGGAUAGCUUCUACGCUGAGCUGCCUUCAAUCAGGCUAUUUUCUCUUACUCUUGUUUUAAAUUUAAUAUUAGUAAAUAUGUAGGAUUUGCAACUUUAUGAUUUAAAUGUAUUAAAUGAACAGAUUUAUUUUGUGCAAAAAUAGAUUUCUUUUGUAAUAAAAUAGAUUUAUUUUGAUGUCGAAGAAUAUAUAUAUAUAUAUUAUUUCUUUUAAGAUUUUUAUUAAUUGUGAUUAUAGAUUUAUUUACUUAUUUAGGUGAUAUAUUGCUAACAAUCCAAAGAAGUGUUUGUUUUUUAUUAGUAAUAUAUAAUUCAAUAAAUCAUUCUACAAAGGUAAUAAUUUGUUUAACCUCCAAGAGGUUUAUCAUACCUCCAUUUGAACUCCUUAAGGAGUAAUUUUCAGAUUCCAUUCAAAUAAAAAUUCAAAAAUUAGUUAAUACAUAAUAAUUAAUUCAUUGAAUUGACUUAUUAGAUCUCAAUCAAUUAUUCUAAUAAGGUAAUAAAUCAUAUACUUUAUUGAAUUGACAAAUUAGAUCUCAAUUAUAAUAAUUAAUUUGCUACUACAAAAUUAGUAAUUAAUUAUUCUAAUAAGAUAUUAAAUCUUAUAAUUCAUUGAAUUGACAUUUUAGUUCUCAAUUACAAUAAUUGAUUUGCUGGCACAAAAUUAGUAAUCAAUUAUUCUAAUAAGAUAAUAAAUCUUAUAAUUCAUUGAAUUGACAUUUUAGAUUUCAGUUACAAUAAUUGAUUUGCUGGCACAAAAUUAGUAAUCAAUUAUUCUAAUAAGGUAAUAAAUCAAUUCUAAUAUAUAAUUUAUUGAAUUGACAUAUUAGAUUUCAAUUACAAUAAUUGUCUAGCUAGCCUAAAUUAAUAAUUAUUUAUUACUAAUUCAAAAAAUUCAAAUAGAAAAUUCAAAAAUUGAUCAAUCCAUAAUAACAAAUUUAAGCUUGCACUUAGGUUUUUGCAAAAAUUGAAUUUGUGUGAUUUCUAGUGAUUAUAUCUACUAACUAAUAGUGUCAAAGAAAAGCUUAUCAAAAAGACAUACGUACCUAAGAAAGGCUAGUACUUAAGCGAGCCUAAUGCUCCACCACCGAUCUGGAGCUGAUCUGGCUAUUAUUUUUUGGAUAUAUCAACUAAACAUUCAAAAUUCAAUACAAAUUUUAGUGCAAUCUUUUGACAUAAACUUUUUGCCUUCAUUCUGUUUUCUGUCUCUUUUAUAUAACCUUGAUCCUAUGGCCUCUAACACUAGUGACCAACUUAGUGCCAAACCUGAAAAAUUUGAUGGCCACAACUUUAGGAGGUGGCAGAACCAAAUACGGCUCUGGCUCACCACAUUAGUGUUGAUCUCAGUCGCAGGUGAAAGCACGUCCGAAGUUGAUAACGGGUCCAACCCAACUACUUCACAACUUGCUACUCGCCAAAACCCAAACCCAAAUCCAAAUCGGAGUUCAUCCUCCUCCCAAACUGAACCUUCUACUUCCACCAGCACACCCUCUAGGAUUCCUAAUGAGAUAGACUAUCAUUGCAUCCAUAGAAUCUUAGGUGCCCUUUCUGAGAGGCUGAUGACAUCUAUUACACAGCCAAGAGUACCAAAGAACUCCGGGACACCUUAGAUAGCAAAUAUGGUCUUGAUGAUGCUAGGAUAAAAAGGUUCAAGGCCUCCGACUCCAAUAACUUUAGGAUGGUGGACUCAAAGCCUAUGAAUGACCAAAUCCAUGACUUUGAAAUCCUGAUCUACCAGCUUAGGGCUAAUGGGACCAAUUUGGAUGAAUCAUUCCAAGUAGCCUGUCUGAUAGAUAAACUACCUAAUUUCUGAUCUGAUUUUGCUAAGACCCUGAGCCAUACCCAAGAAGGUCUCACCCUAACCCAAGUCUUGAACUCCAUUAGAAUUGAAGAGCAACAUAGGCUCAGGAGUAAAACCUCUAUUGGACACAAAAAUAAUGCGUAUAAUAUAGAGGCUCCACCUAGAAAAAAUCAGAACCGACCCUUCAAAAAUAAGCAUUACAAAAAGAAGCCCUACAACCCUAGAAACCCUAAUCACCACAAUGAAAAACCUAUCUAAUCCCAGGAGCAGAAGAAGAAGAAAGAGGAAGGUGGUGUUCGUUUCUGUUAUAUGUGUGGUCGGAUCAACCAUUUGGCUCUCCAGUGCUUCUAUAAAAAGACUGCACCUUUUCAAUCCNNNNNNNNNNNNNNNNNNNNNNNNNNNNNNNNNCUGGCGCUGGCUCCUCUGAGACUGCUUUCAGGUCUGUUUCCUUCACUCCUGAAGUUAACAUGACUUUACGAGCACUUGAUUGGUGGAUUAAUACCGGAGCUGGUAUUCAUAUUUAUUCGGAUCACUCCUAGUUUUCUUCUUAUCAAGUCUCAUGUGGAGGAGCUGUGAUUAUGGCAAAUAGCUAGGAGGCACGUGUACAAGGAGUGGGACGUGUAAACUUAAAGCUUACUUUUGGAAAAGUCAUGUCCCUGCAUGGCGUCCAACAUAUUUCGGCCAUUAGGAGAAAUCUAAUUAGUGGUUCUUUGCUUGUCCAGCUAGGCUAUUGUCUUAUUUUUGAGUUCAAUAAAGUUGUAAUUUCUCAUAGUGUGAUAUUCAUUGAAAAAAGAUUCCUAAGUGAAGGAUUGUUUAAGUUGAAUGUAAUAGUUCUUUCAAUAAAUAAAUUUUUUUUGAUUAUAAAUAUAUAACCUCCUUUUAUUUGGCAUGGUAGAUUAGGUCAUGUAAAUUAUAAUACAAUUAAGCAACUAAUGAACCUAAAUUUAAUACCAAAAAGUGAUCUUAAGAACCAUGAGAAAUGUGAAAUCUGUGUCGAAGCCAAACUUCCUAGAAAGCCUUUAAAAUUUGUUAAUAGGGAUUCGGAUUAUUAGAUUUGAUCCAUAGUGAUGUUUGUGACUCUGAUAGAACUUCUAGAGAAGGUAACAGAUACUUUGUGACCUUCAUAGAUGAUCUAUCCAAGUUCUGUUACAUCUACCUAAUUAAAAUCAAGGAUGAGGUGCUCAGCAAAUUUAAGAUUUUUAAGAUUGAAGCUGAGAACCAACAGGAAAAGAAAAUUAAAAUCUUUAGAUCAAAUCGGGGAGGUGAAUAUACAUCUAAUAAUAUAACUCAAUUUUGUGAAGAUCAUGGAAUCAUUCAUGAAGUGACUGCUCUCUAUUCUUCCCAAUCAAAUGGAGUAGCAGAAAGAAAGAAUAAGACUUUAAUAGAUAUGAUUAACUCCAUGCUUAUAAGCUCAAGAGUACCAGAGAAUUUAUGGGGAAAAGCUCUAGUUUCAGUCUGUUAUAUCCUCAAUAGAAUUCUCUCCAAAAAUAAUGAUCUAACCCGAUACGAAAUUUGGAAACAUAGAAAACCUAAUCUUAACUAUUUGAAAGUGUGGGGGUGCUUGGCAAAAGUGAAAAUGUCUGAUUUUAAAAGAAAGAAAAUAGGGCCUAAAAUAUUCAUAGGAUAUGCAGCCAAUAGUAAUGCUAAUAGAUUUCUGGUGAUUAACUCAGAAGAAAGCGAUAUUAGGAACAACACUAUCGUAGAAGCCAGAGAUGCAACAUAUUUUGAAGACAUCUUUCUACUUAGGACUAGAGUAGAUAGUGGUAUAGCUAGUAACUCUAGUAGAAUAAGGACAAGAAAAAUAGAAGUAGAAGCAGAACCUAGGAGGAGUAAAAGAUCCAGAGUAGAAAUUUUUUUUGGAGAUGACUUCUAUACCUUUCUUAUAGAGGACUCUCCAACUACUUUUGAGGACGCAAUGAAAUCCUUCGAUUCACCCUUUUGGAGAGAAGCUGUAGACAAUGAGAUGCGGUUAAUUAUCUAAAAUCAUACUUAGGAACUGACUGAUCUUCCUUCUAGUUGUAAAACUAUAAGGUGCAAAUGGAUCUUUAAGAAGAAACUUAGGCCUGAUGGAUCUGUAGAUAAAUUUAAGGCUAGAUUAGUUGCUAAGGGUUUUACUCAGAAAUCUGGAAUAGAUUUCUUUGAUGUAUAUGCACCUGUAGCUAGGAUUACUACUAUUAGAGUCCUGAUAGCAUUAGCCUCUAUCCAUAGAUUAGUGAUUCAUUAGAUGAAUGUGAAAACAACUUUUCUAAAUGGAGACUUAAAUGAAGAAUUUAUAUAGACCAGCCAGAGGAAUUUAUAAUCCCAGGCCAAGAAAAUAAAGUUUGCAGACUAGUCAGAUCUCUUUUUGGUCUUAAACAAGUACCCAAACAAUGACACUUGAAAUUUGAUGAAAUUAUACUGACAUUUGGAUUUGAAAUCAAUAAGACAGACAAGUAUGUAUACAAUAAGAGAGUUGGAAAUAAAUUUGUGAUCUUAUGCCUCUAUGUAGAUGAUAUACUGAUCUUUGGGACAGAUCUUCAGAUAAUUGAUGAAGUAAAACAAUUUUUAAGUCAUAAGUUUCAUAUGAAAGACUUGGGACAAGCUGACUUAAUUUUAAAUACCAAAAUAAUUAGAAGUGCAAAUAGAAUUGAGUUAUCCCAAAGUCAUUAUUUUGACAAGAUACUUAAUAGAUUUAAUUAUUCUGAUUGUCAGCAUGUCUCUACUUCCUUUGAUCCCUCUACACACCUUAAGAAGAACUUAAGAAUUUCUAUCCUUCAAAACCUAUAUGCUCAAAUCAUAGGCUCACUAAGAUUCUUAGCAAACUACACCAGGCCAGACAUAACAUAUGCUGUAAUAAACUUAGCAGAUAUACUAUUAAUCCAAAUAGAGAUCACUAGACAGCAUUAGAGCGGAUCUUUAGGUAUCUUAAGGGUACCAAUCCUAUAAUUUGCAUUUUAGUGGGUUUCCUACUGUUCUAGAAGGCUAUAGUGAUGCCAACUGGAUCAGCGAUACUUUAGAUAUUAAAUCCACCACGGGAUAUGUCUUUCUCCUAGGAGGUGCUGCUCUGUCUUGUAAAUCCAUCAAACAAACCUUGAUAUUUAGAAGUACCAUAGAGUCUGAACUGAUAGUUUUAGACACCACUAGCACUGAGGCUGAGUGCCUAAGAGAUCUACUAAUAGACCUUCCCGUAGAUGAGUCACCUUUACCACCUGUCUCCUUACAUUGUGACUGUAAAUCUGCAAUAGACAAGUGCAACCAAGAAAAUGCCAAUGUAAAUGAACAGGCACUUAAAAGUGUGUCAUAAAUCAUUAAGAUAUAAAUUGAAAAAUAAUGUUAUUNNNNNNNNNNNNNNNNNNNNNNNNNNNNNNNNNNNNNNNNNNNNNNNNNNNNNNNNNNNNNNNNNNNNNNNNNNNNNNNNNNNNNNNNNNNNNNNNNNNNNNNNNNNNNNNNNNNNNNNNNNNNNNNNNNNNNNNNNNNNNNNNNNNNNNNNNNNNNNNNNNNNNNNNNNNNNNNNNNNNNNNNNNNNNNNNNNNNNNNNNNNNNNNNNNNNNNNNNNNNNNNNNNNNNNNNNNNNNNNNNNNNNNNNNNNNNNNNNNNNNNNNNNNNNNNNNNNNNNNNNNNNNNNNNNNNNNNNNNNNNNNNNNNNNNNNNNNNNNNNNNNNNNNNNNNNNNNNNNNNNNNNNNNNNNNNNNNNNNNNNNNNNNNNNNNNNNNNNNNNNNNNNNNNNNNNNNNNNNNNNNNNNNNNNNNNNNNNNNNNNNNNNNNNNNNNNNNNNNNNNNNNNNNNNNNNNNNNNNNNNNNNNNNNNNNNNNNNNNNNNNNNNNNNNNNNNNNNNNNNNNNNNNNNNNNNNNNNNNNNNNNNNNNNNNNNNNNNNNNNNNNNNNNNNNNNNNNNNNNNNNNNNNNNNNNNNNNNNNNNNNNNNNNNNNNNNNNNNNNNNNNNNNNNNNNNNNNNNNNNNNNNNNNNNNNNNNNNNNNNNNNNNNNNNNNNNNNNNNNNNNNNNNNNNNNNNNNNNNNNNNNNNNNNNNNNNNNNNNNNNNNNNNNNNNNNNNNNNNNNNNNNNNNNNNNNNNNNNNNNNNNNNNNNNNNNNNNNNNNNNNNNNNNNNNNNNNNNNNNNNNNNNNNNNNNNNNNNNNNNNNNNNNNNNNNNNNNNNNNNNNNNNNNNNNNNNNNNNNNNNNNNNNNNNNNNNNNNNNNNNNNNNNNNNNNNNNNNNNNNNNNNNNNNNNNNNNNNNNNNNNNNNNNNNNNNNNNNNNNNNNNNNNNNNNNNNNNNNNNNNNNNNNNNNNNNNNNNNNNNNNNNNNNNNNNNNNNNNNNNNNNNNNNNNNNNNNNNNNNNNNNNNNNNNNNNNNNNNNNNNNNNNNNNNNNNNNNNNNNNNNNNNNNNNNNNNNNNNNNNNNNNNNNNNNNNNNNNNNNNNNNNNNNNNNNNNNNNNNNNNNNNNNNNNNNNNNNNNNNNNNNNNNNNNNNNNNNNNNNNNNNNNNNNNNNNNNNNNNNNNNNNNNNNNNNNNNNNNNNNNNNNNNNNNNNNNNNNNNNNNNNNNNNNNNNNNNNNNNNNNNNNNNNNNNNNNNNNNNNNNNNNNNNNNNNNNNNNNNNNNNNNNNNNNNNNNNNNNNNNNNNNNNNNNNNNNNNNNNNNNNNNNNNNNNNNNNNNNNNNNNNNNNNNNNNNNNNNNNNNNNNNNNNNNNNNNNNNNNNNNNNNNNNNNNNNNNNNNNNNNNNNNNNNNNNNNNNNNNNNNNNNNNNNNNNNNNNNNNNNNNNNNNNNNNNNNNNNNNNNNNNNNNNNNNNNNNNNNNNNNNNNNNNNNNNNNNNNNNNNNNNNNNNNNNNNNNNNNNNNNNNNNNNNNNNNNNNNNNNNNNNNNNNNUAAUUUCGUUAGAAUGUAUGGGUUAACAGAGAGCAGUUAUUCAGACAAAAGUGCAGCACGAACCAUCUACCACCUCAUCAUUUCAAAGCAUCCAUCUUUCAUGCUGUUGUAUUGAGAGUGUAAGACUAAAUAAAAGCCAUCCAUCUUGAUGCUAAUCAGUAUCUGAUUAAAAAAUAAAUUGUUAGAUGAUACAUGACCCGGGGGGCAUAUGCCAUUUAAAAUAGCCUGCCAAGGAUUCCUCCUGUACAAAAACAAGGGGGAGGGCAAGGAUGCCUUCAAAAAGAACAAAAAUUAACAGGUACUCUCCUGCUGAGGAUUUGCAUAUGGGUUUGAUGAAACAUCUACAGCACUGCGAUCAUAUCGCUUCUCGAGCUUCUCGUAUUCUCUAGCUAUCUGAAUAUCAUUAGGUUGCAAGUAUGCACCGAAUACCCUAAUCACAAAUCGUGGAAGCAAGGCUAGCACCAAGAUGCAGAGGAAGCAGAGCCAAAAUGUCUUGGAAGCCAUUAGAUGAUUGGCAGCCCUGACACAAAAAUAAAGCUCAAACAUUUUAAUCAAGGACAGCAAAAUUUGUUUCGCAUACAUAUAUUUAGAAAUAUGCCAGCCAGCAUGCAUGGUUUUCGUCUCUUGCAACAUUACUAAGCAAAUAUCAUCAGUACAAGCAGUAAACUUCACGAAGCAUAACAUAUAUACGACAUGCCAACCUAAACAUCUUCCAUUACGAGAAAAAAAAUUCUAUGCAGGUAAACCAAAAGUCGAGUGGAAUUACCAGUAACCGGGCAUUGAAGGUGAGGCAUCUAUUGCAAUGACACAGGCAAAAGUUACAGCCGUGCAGCCCCAUAUCGUUGCAUGCAGAAUCCAGUUCCACCGAAACACGUCCAUUGCUAGGUGAACAUUAACCAACACGACCACUGAAAGAAUCCACAUGUCUCCUAAGCUGGAAGUAUCUAAGCUACUAUGGUUAUAGGCAAAUAAGGGGACAUAAAACAAGACAAAGCUUUGCCAAAGGGAGUCCAACAUGAUCAACACAAACAACUUCAGGUUAUAAUUUCCAUCUCUAAGCCCAGGUCCAUAGAGCUGGGAGUACUUCAAAAGAGUCCUCCUACUCAAGUCUUGGUCGUAAAUUCCAACCAUAACUGUUGGAAGAGCAGUAUAGACUGCAGAAUAUAGCAGCCCACUCGUGUCAGUGAUUGUAUUUGACAAACUGAAUGCUGAAUAAAAAUUAUACCUGCAGUAAACAGCUUAUGAGUUCAGUUAUUUCAUAUUAAAUCACAUAUAAAACUAGCUCAAUGAUUUAAAAAUAGCAUAGCAGAAACCUUCCUCUUUUUGGUCUUUACUAGUUUGGGUAAAAUGUAGCAUCUGUCCUGAGAAUGGCUAUAAACCAAUAUAAGUGUAUAUGGGGCCACAUUAAGCUACUCAAAUACAUGAAUAAAUUUACAUGUUGAUGCUGUAUGCAUGAAUCUGCAACAUCUUAUAUAUAACACAAUAGUAUUGGCUGAACUAAACUGUCACUGAAGAGGGUAUAAUGGUCUUUCACCCCUAUGUGAUAUCAUUGACAAAUAUAGCUCAUGUCAAGUAAAUUAAUCAUGCAAAUAUUAUCUAAUGUCUUUAUCACAUUGAUAUGUAUCAUGAAUAUUUAAAAAUAUUUAAAAAUUCUAACAAUAACUAUGUUUUCAUAAAUAUUUAAAAAUUUACCUAUUAAUGAGGAAAAUAUCCAUGAACACUGAAACCACUAAAUACCAGUGUUUUACACAAGAGACUAAUUAGAUGACCAGGAUAUAUAAAACUUGUUUUGGGCCAAGACAUGGGGAUACUAAUCUUAAGAAACCUUGAGUAUUUUUAGUCUUAGGGAACAUGCUUUCCCAAUUUAAGGCCUUGUCCACCUUAUCUGCAACUCUUCUGAUAUUAAAUAUUCAUAGUUGUCACACCCCUAAUCCUCUACUCAAGCUGGGCACGUGACAUAGCAGCACAUUCCAUAAGCAUAGCCCAGAGAAUAUGCAAGGUAUUGAAUAUAUUACAAAAUCUCUACAACAUUAGAAAGUAUAUAAUGCAUGAUAGUUAUUUCCAAGAUAAAUUAUUUCCAUUUUUAACAAUCUUUUGGCUAGCCCCACACUCAGUUAUGUACCAAGUAGAUCUUGGGUACUUAUAUAAAGCGAAGGAACCCAAAUAACACCUUCUUUCUAGCCAUUUUAGGUGAAGUCCCGGGAUGUUACAAAUGAUUUUAGGGCGGACCCAACCUAUGGCCCAUAUGGACUAUGGGGCACUACAACACGGGUACUUUUGGAACUGAACACAGGCUAAUCAUGAUGUAUAGUUGGAUUUGACUGGAUUUAGACUCUUAGUCUGACCAGAACAUCAAGGCAUAAAGGAGAGGAGCAUGUAAAAACCCAUGUGGGCAUGCAUUUGGUUCCACAUCGGUUAUACACCAGUUAGAUCUUGGACACAUAUAUAGGGCCAAGGAACCCAAAUAGCACCUUCUAGCUAGCCUUUUAUAUAAGGUCUUGGGUUGCUACAAUAUAUACACAUAUGUACAGACACAUGUUCAAAAGAAUAUAGUUUUCAUAUAAAAUGUUGCAUGUCUAAAUUUAGUGAGCUUGGGAUUUCUAUAGAUUAUUAAUUUCGAAGGGGGAUAAUUUUUCUUAAACUACACUCUACAACAAACACCCAUAUGAUGGGCCUAUGAAAAAUCAAUUUUAAUGGAAAACUACAAGCAAAUAAAGAAGGGACAGCCUCUAUGUGCGGAGGAAAUUUUAUAAAAAAUUGUGGUCCACAUACACCCAUUUUGCCACAUCAAGCAUUUGCUUGAUAGGUUUGGAGAAUCUAUGAAGGACUAAAGAAGAUGGCAACAACUCAGAAACAAGCUGUUCGUUUAGAAAAAGAGGGAAAAAAGACAAGUCGAACAAGCUCCUCAAUCAUCAACAGGUCUGGGUUGUAUCUUUCGCAUGAAAGAAUGAUUGAUCUUCUUUCGCGACAUCGUCCAUCGGAUCAUGCUCCACACAGAUCUUAAAGCACUCCAAACCUUUCUAGUCAUCCGCCUGCACAUUUCUCGAAGCAACCAUUGCACAAUCCGACAGUGGAUUCGCACGAAGGAAGGUGAAUCCUUCUUUCAAGCAAAAGAUACAACCUUGUCCCAUCAUCAACCUUUCCCCCGUUUUUAAACUUCAAAAAUGUGAUUGUGUUCUUUAAUAUGUCGAGGUAGUAAAAGAAUUUAAUGAUUGAUAGUUUUUACUCUAGCAACUCUCCAUUAUAAGUUAUCUUUCUCUUUCAUUUCUGUUUUGUGUUAUCUCCUUUUCAAGGUACCAUGACCUUCACAAGAUCAUGGGGACUCAAAAUCCCUCCAAAAUAACAAGAUUUAUCCCUGUAAGUGAGAUCUUGCAGAUGCAUAUAAUGAGGAAUAAAUUUGUAUGAAAACUAAGUAUCAUAAAAAAGGCUUACCAGAAAGUCAUGAACACAUAGACUGCAUUCCUGUAAAAGUUGUACAGGAUCAUAUAGCUCAUACGAUGGUAAUUCCAAUGGCCAUGGACCAGUAAAAGAGGGACUAAAAAUCUGAACUGCGCCAUGGAAAAAUCUGAAGCCAUAACAGCUUGUCGUCCUUCCUGGCCACUGAUCCCAAUCCCAACAUCAGCCAUUUGAAUCAUUGAAACAUCGUUUGCACCUGGAUUUAAUGGGGAAAAGCGAAAAAGAAAAAAAUUAUGCAACUAAUCCAUAACACAAGCCUCACUCACAAGCAAUUUUAUUUUCUAAGAAAUAUAGGAAGAACCCAUGCAAUGAGAGAAUGCUUACCAUCUCCAAUAGAAAGAGUCAUAUCAUCUGUUCUCUUUUUCAUAAGUGCAACUAUUCCAGCCUUUUGCAAUGGAGCCACUCGGCAACACAACACCACGUCACAUAUUGUGGCUACUUUGAACAACUGCACCAUCCAAUUAAGUGAAGCAAGAAAAGAAUUAAUAAAGAGGAGAGGAAAAGAAUGAAGGACAGCUUCAACACUAACCAUGCUAUGAUGUAUGUUUACCUCUUCUUCCAGUUCAGUUUCAAGAAUAUGGACCAAUGAAGGCCCAUCAAUAAUCAAUGCAAGAAGAAUUCCACCUGGAUCCAUUGCCCCCUGAGUAUUAUGUGUUCUGGAAGAUACCGAUGUUAGUUUCUCACACAUGGAAAUUGCAUCUUCAAGACUCUUCCUACAGGAUUCUUUAGAAUGACUGUUUAUAAUGAUCUGGGUCAUUGCAUCCGUUAGGAGCUUACAUGAAUAGCCAAUGGAAAUGGCAGUUUCCUGUUUGUCCCCUGUCAAAACCCAAACCUUUAUUCCUGCUUGCCUGAGAGAUUCUAUGGCUUCAGGCACGCCCUGUUGUAGUUCAUCUUCAAUUCCUGUGGCUCCCAAGAUCUGGAGAUUGCAUUCUACCUUGAGUGCAACAUCGCGGAGUAAAUCUGUCCUUCCAGAUAAUGCAGUACUCGCUUUCUCGUAAGUAAACUGCCAGUCCUCAAACUCUUUGGUACCUAAUUCUCUCAUACCGAUAACCAAAGUUCUGAGACCCAAAGAUGAGUAGCUAUGAAGAUGUUUCUCAGUUUCAUGCAGUAUGUCCAACUCAUGGGAUUUUUCUAGAACACUGAACAUUGCACUGUCUGCACCUUUCACAAAUAACUUAAUUGACUUAUCAGGGCAGGCAACUAUAACUGACAUCCUCUUGCGGUCACUGUCGAACUCAUGAAGGCCCAAAAGCUCGAACCUGCAUUGCCAGUAACAUAAAUCACGAAAUUCACAUUCUGUAAGUGAAAGAUGGUUCUGUGAAAAGAAAAGCUAGUAACAAACUCUAAGCUACAUAUGUAAAAGUUGCUGCUGAAGUAUCACCAGCACCACUACCAGAAGAAUGCUACUGAUGAGAUUGCUAUUGCCAUGACAACCACCAAACUUUCUUACGUGGUGCUACUGACAUGGCUAGUACCAGAAUAAUGGUUGCAAACUUGCAAUACUAUAACAUGCCGUGGGAAAGAUCAUGGUCUACUAUCAAAGUGCAUACUUCAAGGUACACAGGUUUUAGAUGAUUUUAAUGUGGUCAUACAUUUCUCAACACAAUGUUGAUGCAAAUCAGACUUAAGAUGGCAUAUAAUUGAGCUCAGACCUUCCUGCCAAUGCAUUACAUAGCUUAGGCUUUUCCCAUCUGUCAUUUAUGGACUAAGAGAAUUACUAUGUGAAUAGAUUUUUCAGUUACUUUGAAUGGAUGUUAAGUGGCUUUCUUGGAAAGCAAAGAGGCCUAUGCAGAGGGACACCAUCUCAUCCUCCUUUUUUGAUGCUCAAGGAGAUAAAGAACUUUGUACAAAGAAUGAGUGUUGACAGCCAAUUAAAAGACUUUGAAUCCAACCAGAGCAAAUAAAUACUUAAUUCAAAAUGGCUUUUAGAAAUUCUCUAACCCCCCUAUGUUGAGGAUAUAAUCUAAUCCUAAAAAUCAAGAUGAUUCUAACAUGCCAUCAGCUUCUUCCAGCAAGCAAAAUCACCACUAGCAGCAACCCAUGAUGGUGAGGCUCAUGGAAGGAAACUGGUUUGAAAAGGGGGCAUCCAUGCAGACGGAGUUCACCUUGAUGUGUCUGGGUUUACUGUAUCUAUACGUAUCUAUACGGUGACACCUACAUUGCAAGAUUGGCAAUGCCAUCAUCAAAGUUUUAAGAAAAGGAAUAAAAGUUAACAGGGAAAUAAUCGACCAUGAAAGGUUAAGAAACUCUAAAUUAAUUGUGUUUUAUCAAAUUUUCCAUUUCAAUUGCUACUCAAAUUUCUCAAACCUUGGCCUGUGCAAAAGGAAUCAAGGUGAAUAUUGAUGGCUAUUGCAGUAGAUACAGGGUGAAUGAUGGAUGACAUAGGCAAUACACCCGACAUUUUGGAGUUGAAUGUGCAAAUCAGAUAGGGCAUGCAUGGGUUCAUAAUGCUCGACAGGAUGAACACAAGUAUCUUCAGAAAUGGUCAACUGAAUUAGCAACAGUUCACAAAACAUUCAGAGAAAUCUAUCGGCAUUAAGUGCAAAAAAAUGACCAAUAUGUAGAGAGCCUGCAUAUUCAAUGUGGGGAAAUAGAAUUUAAUUUCUCACUAUAUUUACAUUGCACCGAAUUUUUCUUUCCUCAUCUGUUUGAGCACAUACUGUCUUACCAUAUACAAACAAGCAUGGGCAUUAUGUGCAUAAUAGUAAUACAGUGCAUAGCUAGUGACCAGGACUUAUGACAAACUUCAAGCAUACAACUCUAAAAUUAUUUCAAAUAAUGCAGACUUAAAUGAGAAUAUGUGACCUCUCUUAGAGAUGAUAACAGAUUGUAGAGAUCAUUAUACAGAAACCACGUCUGCAUUAGGUUUAUUUUUGCCUGUUAAUUGCUAAACUAGGAAUAAAUAAGCCAUAUUAUGAAACUUUGGAAGACGGUGACUGACCACAAACCAAGGUGCAACACAAAAAUAUUGGAGAACUAAUUUGAUUUUAUGCCAGAAAGCUCGACAAUGGAAAUUAUUUUUCUCUUUUAAAAGUUAAUGAAAAAGUAAAGAGAAAAAGAUAAAAUUUCAUAUGAUUUUUAUUGAUCUAGAGAAAGCAUAUGAUAGAGUCCCUAGAGAAGUCCUACAGUAGAUUAUAGAAAAGAAAGAAGUUUUUCACAAAUAUAUUAAUGUGAUUUAGAAGAUAUAUGAUGGAGAGUUUACUAGUUUGAGAACUAAUGGAGGUAAUACUAGGGAAUAUCCAAUGGCAAUAGGUUUGCAUAAAUGAUCUGCUCUAGGUCCUUACUCUUUUAUGCUAGUUAUAUAUCUAUUCCAUGGUGCAUGCUAUUUGCAGAUGAUAUAGUCUUAAUGGACAAAACUAGGAUUGAACAGAUUAACCGUAAGUUGGAAUAUAGAUGAGGGCAUUAGAAUCCAAGAAUUUUAGGUAAGUAGGACCAAGACGAAAUAUACGGAAUAUAAUCUUAGUAAAAUUAAGGAUAGAGAUGAAGGUGAUCAUGAAGUGUCUGAAAGCGAUCAUUUUUAAUAAUUUAGGAUCAAUUAUUAUGUGAAAAGUAAAACUAGAAUAUUAUAUGAUCGUAGAAUAUUUGCCAAAUUCAAAAAAAAAUAUAGGAUAACUCAUACAACCAACUAUUCUUCAUGGUGGAGAAUGUUGGACAAUUAAAAAAAUAAGAUGUCUACAAAAUGAGCAUGACUAAAAUGAGAAUGUUAAGAUGGAUGUAUUACAAUAAAAGAAAAGAUAGAAUAAGAAAUGAAGUCAUUCGUAACAAAGUAGAAGUAGCAUCAAUUAAGAACAAAUUGAGAGAAUGAAAGUUUAGAUGGUUAUGCGCUAGCACGAAGAAGUGAUUUGAUAUAUGUAGAAGGAAAGCAAAGGUAGACCGAAAAUUAUAUGGAUUUAGACAUUAAAGAAGAACUUGACAUCUCAACAUCUCCCGAAAAUAUGGCCCAAAACUGAGUUAGAUGAAGGAGAAGCAUAGCUAACCCCAACUAAUUUGGAAUUAAAGCUUAAUUGAGUUGAGAAUUUUAAAUCAAGAAUAAAUGCACUAUAGUACAAGAAAGCUUUGAAUGGCAGGAAUACCAUCAAAGUACAGGGCUUUGUUUGGAUCGUGAUGUACGAAAGAAUUCUAACUAAAAAAAAAAUCUUAAUUCUCUCAAUCAACACUAUGUUCUAAAAAAAAGGGGGACAUUUGGCCAUUUGCUGGUAAAUUUUCAAAAGGUACGAGGGAUCUGACCUUCCUAGUUGAAAAGGAAAAACUUAGACAACCCGACCAACCAAUACUAUUUAUAUGGAAUCCAAAUACAUGUGGGAGGGGGUAAGGACAGGAUUGCUUAAGCGAUCACCUCUAAAAUCUGAUAAAAAUAUGGAUAAUAAUCUGCCUGUGAAGAUGUUUAGACUGAAGUAGACAAAGUAACAUAAAGAUCUGAAUUAGGAUAAGUUAUGUCGCAGGUAGAAGCUAAUUUUUUAAAGCAUGUCAGCAGUGGUGAUGUCUUGGAUCGCUAGAAGAACUUGACGACCAAACCCAUUCCACAUGGCACCUCUUCGAUGUGCUCCCGUAUUGGGAUCAUCCGUUGCUCCUGAUUUUGUUUCAUCUUUUUAACCUAUUAAUCAUUUUGAGAACAGAUUUGAUUUUUAUUCAAGGUUCCAUAAUGAUAAUUUGAACUCAUAAGACUACUUAUAUCCAAUUCCAUGUGUUAUACCACCCUCAAUCAAUAAAACCAUGACUGGUGUGCUCAUAACUUUGCUUGAAGUCAAUAAACAUGCAAUCAUCCAAAGCAAUAAGGUAACAUGCUACGAUCAAAGGAAAACCAGAUCUAGAAUUAUCAGUUCUACUUGAAAUGUUGCUACAGCAAGCACCAGCUGAUGAAGGGAGCAUAAUGGGAUAAAAUCAUGGAGCAUAUCAAGUGGCAAGUAAGAAAGAAAAGAGUACCUCU
rnacentral:lncRNA from 1 species